CUGUCCUUCCCAUUGUCUGAGCUGCCUUUUUCUUGACUACUUCUUAAGCCUCUGGAUUUCUCCUUAAAUAUCAGCUCUAGGACGCCUGCCUGAUGAGCUGAGGUCAUUCCUACCCUCAAGUGACCUGGUGAAUUAAGCAACAAUACCAGGGAUUCCAGGACAGUGAGUUUGAAGAUCAGCAUCUUUGCUGGCCUGGGGGAGGCCCUUGGCCUGCUGGGGGUGGAUAGAGUGAUGCUGACCUUCUGCACAGGCUUUGGGAGGGAACAGUUAGUUACCGCAAAUGUCUGGCUAUCCAGUUAGUUACUGCAAAUGUCUGGCUAUCUAGGUGAAGCACUCCCAACCCUCUGCUCCUCAACUGUAGUUGUGAAUUACAGAGCUGGAAACAGCACACGGGGGCAUUUGUUCCACUCCUGUUUCAGGGACAAAACUUAGGCCUGGGUCUCUAAAACCAGAGGUGCUUGAUGCUUCAUCCCAAGGCUAAAGGGGCAGAUGCCCUCUCUAUCUGGCACUGUGGUUUCCUCUACUUCCACCUUACUGCAGAGUGGGGGGCUGGAACGUUGGCAAGGAUCGAGGACUCCUGUACCCUAUCUCAUUCUCCUCCCACACCCCUGUCCCUUCAUUACAGAUAAUCCAACCUCUUUAUUCUGUGGUUGCUGAAUAGCAUCCCCCAGGGAACCAUCUUCCCUGCAAACGCAGGGUGACGCUGUGCAGUGGUUUCUCUGCCAUCAUCUUUUCUCUGCUGGGGAUGCCAGAGCAUAAACCCAUGGUACAAUGGAAUGUGCCUGGUAGAAAGGAUGAAGACGCGGGGGCUCCAGUGUGCUCCGCCCCUUCCUCUCUGUCAGCCUGAGUGCUCCCGCCCCCUUUGGGCCUCAGUCUCCCACAGAAAGGGAGAGCUGGGUGGCCCAGCAAUCUCUGGAGCCCCUUUUGGCUCAGACCUCCUGCAGUUCUCUGUAGCCUCCUGGUUCCCAGUGUAUUUUUAAAGGAUCCUGUGUUAUUUAUCUCAGCAUCUCUGCCCCCCUCCGCUCCACGCUGCUAUCCAUGCAGUAAUGACAUCCAAACACCCACACUGUAUCUUAACAAUCUGAUGAGAUAAAUGCCUCAUCCUUGGGCUCCGUGGACACAGAGUAGCAAUUCUCCUAUUCUGCUAUCAAAGACCUCAGAGGCUCAGGCUACCAAGGCAGGAUGAGCAGGCAUGUGGAUUGCCAUGUGCCCAUCAUUGGGCAAAAACACAUUCUCCCUGCCCCAAAGCCCCUGUUUUUCCCCAAAGCAGCCUCACUUUUUCCCUUCCUCCACCUCCAGAACAAUGCCUUCGAGCCUGCUGGCAUUUGAGAAUGUGCCGGGCGGGCAGUACUGGGGGCAUAUGGCCUUGUUAUUUUGAUGGAGCUCCUAGUGGGAUGCACCAGCCACUGGCCAGGUCCUGGAAAUAAUUAAGCUGAGCAUAUUGACCUGGGGGUUGCAGGGCCUUGGGCAUGCUGCAACCUCCAACACCUGUUCUCAUGCUCCUUCUGCAGUGACCCUCUCGUGCUCUAGGCACACCUGUUAGAUGGAACCUGGGACUUUCAAGGUUGUCACUGCCAGGGCUGGCAUGAUGUGCUUGCACCACUGCUCCCUUUAUGGACCUGGGAGUUGGGAAGGUGCAAGGUUCCAAGAGAAGCAGGAACUGAUUUGGUCUUGUAGUGAAAAUAGACCUGGCUCUGGUUUGGUAAGUGAGUGACCUUGGGCUUAGUUUCCCUAGAAGCAGAAAUAGGAUAACAGUAAGUCUUCCCACUUCAAGGAAUGUUAUAAGGAUCGAGUGAGAUCAUGUGAAAUUCUUAGGAAAGCUGCAAGGGAGUCUACCUACGAAACACAGAGGCCAUGGGACACAGAGGGAGGAGUAAGGGCUCGAGCUGGGCAGGCCUGGGUGUGAAUUCCAGUGUUUCUCUUCAGGCUGUGCUGCCUGGGGAAAUGUACUUACCUCUCCUGAGCUUUUCUUUGCUCUUCUGUAAACCAAGGGAUAAUGAAGCUACACUGACUGGUUACUCACAAUGAUAACAGGAGUAUCUAUUAUUUAUUAAACGUUUAUUUUGAGCCAGGACCUUUGUUCCUUUUCUUUUUAAAACCUCCAUAAAAUGUAGCCGGAUUUGUAAUCACACAUUACUUCACGUGGACUUUGCCUGGUUUGUGUAGUGUCUCUGUGAGAGCAGGGGUUCUACGGGUGUUGCCCAGCACUGUGUUUCCAAAGCCCAGCACGUGCCUGGCCCAUGGUGGGUGCUUAAGAAAUGUUCAUGCAGUCAAGGGGGUGCAGCUGCCUGGCAAGGAGAACCUGGGAAAUUCAUUUACCCUUCUUAUUAUUCAGUUCCUUCACCCGAACUCUCUCAGGCUGGAGCUGAGCUUUGGGUUCAUAAUAUAUGAUUAUUCUCCCCAUGUAAAAAUGACUACACUGAGGUCAGGAGAGGUUAAGUGCUGUGCCCUAGAUCACUCAACUAGGAACGAGGGAACAAAGCCUUCUUGUACAGUACUUGACAGAGCCUCCUUGGAAGCUUGGGAAAAGGGUGUGGGCAGGACUGGGCAGGGAGGAAACAGGUGAGCACCUGCCGGAUUCACCAUCUGCCCCCAUGAAGAUACAUGGAAUCCUAUCUCUCAUAACCGCCCCCAGCCAUGCCCAUUUUACAGAUAAGAAACUGAGGCUGAGAGGGAGAAAGAACCCGAAGCUCAGCUCCAGCCAGAGAGAGUUCAGGUAAAAGAACUGAAUAAUAAGAAGGGCAAAUGAAGUUCCAGAGUUCCUUCAUCCCAGGGUAGGAUCCUCAGCCUUGCCAGGUAGCUGCACUCAGCCUCCCGCCCUCUCUGAGCAGGGGGGUUGGAAUGUGUCUGCGAAGGGCAGCGAGGAAGGAGCCUGCUGGAAUUCCUUCCCUGUGGCACAUCUGGGAGGGGUAUUCCCCCUGGUGAUACUUGGGAAAUCAUGCUGGCCGGCUGGCCUCGCCAGUCCUUUUUUCCACUGUUCUUUUGGUCUCGGAGCACCCGCCAAACAUCCGACACUGUUCAGGAUCGAUUGCACGUAAAAUGAAGAAUGGGUAUUUAAAAAAUAGGUUUUUUUGUGUUUUUCCCCCUGUUGUCAUCUAAGAAGCAGGUUUUUAGGUUCUUUGAUUCUCUCCCAGAAUAACAACCAUAUGGGGCCUCCACUUACACUGAGCAGCCUGUGCCUUGUGCCAGGGACCGGUUUGUUUCCAUUGUCAGCAAACCUUGACUGGCUCCAAACAUUUUCAAUCAGGUGGUUUCGGAAAGAGGGAGAGACUGAGGGGAAAGUGAUGAUGUGGUCCCUCUGAAGAGGGUUUAGCUUUCAAGAGUAUGGCAGGGGUGGGGUCGACAGCCAGAGGGGUGUGACUUUGAGAAGCCAACUCACCGGCAGGAUCCAGCGAGAUCCAGGCUCGGUGGCUGGAACAAAGAACAUUUUGAACCACACGGGGCUCUGGCAUGUUUGUUGAUCGACUUAUCCAAGGCCUGGGCCAGCUGCUCUUGUUCCAGAAGAUUUCAUGGAUUAACUCCCUGGGCUUUGGAAAAUUGUUUCUUUUUUAAGAAAGGGAAGUUUUGAAAAGCAAGUGCUCCUGGGCAGGCUGGGGGUGUGGGGAGUGUUGGCUGGAGUGGGAGGUCACAUUCGCCCCAUGGUGGGAUGGCCAAGGGCUCCCAGCGAGGGAACAGUUGAACCUGUGGUGUCCUGGGGGGAGGGUUCCUCUGAGGGACCCUAAUGGACAGAGGAGUGUGGUCCCCUGAGCCUGGGAGCAUCGUGGGCAUUUAGACCAAACCACAGGAAGGGCUCCCCAAUGCUGAAGGUUGCUAGGCGCUGGGGGAGGUUCCCCGGGAGACUGUGGCUAGAAACACCAUCUGCCAAAGAUGAUUUAGUUCUGGAAGAGGCAAGGGAUAGAACGAGAUGGUCCUUUCUGUCCCAGUUAAUCUUGGUGCUGUUCAUUCCGGGCUGAGCAUUCCCUUCCUGAAGUGGAAUGGAAGACAGACUCGGCCUUGGGCAGACUCUGAGCAUCUUGUGAAAGGGAGAGUCUUACCUCCUUGGCUUUGUCCCCACCCCCUGCCCAGGGUCGGAUAUCUUGGGUGCUUGCCGGCUCUCUGCCCACUGUCCUGCCCUGGCAGCAGGUACCGGCAAGCCUGUGUGCCGUGUGGGGUACAGGGAGUAGUGGGCACAUGAUUAAAUACUCAUGCUUUGUCAAAACACUGACAGUUACAAAAUGCCUCCGCGUCUACUCAGGGAAGGGUGAGCAAUGAGGAAAAUGACUUCAAUAUGCAAAAGACAUUCCAAGGAGUCCGGGAGGGAAUGCUCAUUCUAGAGCCAGGAGGGAGUCAUGGGAAUUAGUUCUUGAUUUAUAGACUGGCUGAAAGAAAUCACCUAGGUUAAACCUGCCUAAAUUCUGCUAUCUGUGUAUGUGCUUAAGGGGAUGGGCUCAAUGAACUUUGAGACUGUCUCUUCUCUACUGAUGGGAGUGACAGUGAAGUUCCUGAUGAAGGAAGGUUUAGGGUAGAGAAAUUCUGAGCCCCUGGGUUCUGGAUUCAAAAUCAUACACAGCCCUCUAGACAACAUAGAUGUACAGUCGUACAGUCUUUGUGGAGAAUUUGAAAAACGAGAAUGGUGAUUAUUUACUUAGGACAGGUUUGGGUACAGCCACUCAUGGAAGCCAGGAACCAGCUUCUAACCACGGAAGCUUUGUGUUUUCUGUAUAAACUGUCCUUGACUACAGACAAAGAAUGGGUACCGAGUGUUCAGUUGGCAUCAUAAUAGGAAACAGAAUUCUACACAGAUGGUUCAACGGAACAGAGUUUUUUGAGGGGCAUAUUUACGGAGGGGUAAGGAGACCAGCAAGGGAUAUUGAGGCACCCAGGGCUAAACUUAGAGGGAAGCUGUCAUCACCCUAGGGCCUGAGGAGGAAGGGGAGAAAAUACUGUUUGGGGGGCCUGGUGGGAGCUGUAGCUGGGAGGAGGACCAUGAGGGAGAAACCAUAGUCAUGGAAGGAUGUUGUCACUGCCAGGACCAAGGCACCAAGGUACGGGGACAUGGAAAGAAAACACCCUGCCUUCUCUGUCCUCCCAUCUCCACUCUCUUAUUGACGCUGCUCAUUGGCCAAACCAACCUGAAGCUGGAGGGCCAGGGAGCCGGGCACCUCAAGCAGUCCCCAUGCACCAAGCUUCCAGGGCACGGGGUCAGGGAACAGAGGGUGGAAGGGGUCUAGGGGAGCCAGCAGGGAGCUGGAGCUCAUUUGUAAUAUUUGUCUUGUUUAGCCAACUCUAGAAGGCUUGUCCUGAGAAGGCGAGCUUCGAAAGCUGUUACUGACUCUUAAAGUAUUCUGUCGUCAAGACUAGUGUGUUUACCUUGCAAACUACCUUGAGCCAGCUGUAAUGAAAUUCUGAAAUGUCUCCCAUACACCCUCCUUCUCUGUGAAAUGUCAGCUUUUUGAGGGCAGGGCCUGAUUCUUUUAUGAGCAGUUGUCUUGAAUCACUUCAACCCCUCCACACCUGGAGUGCCUUACAUACACUUUCCAGAAUGCCGUACUCAGUGACCCCUCAUGUCAAUGUUUUGAGGCUUUUGAAUUGGUCAAGGCAACCGUCUUGCUGAGUGGCCUGAGUUCUCCAGUGAGAGAACACGAGUAGUCUCCUUGAGUGGGGGCCACAGCACGCCAGACGUGGUGAUGGAACCCUCUACGGUAUAGAGAGCCCACGGCCAUGCCACCCAGCCAGACAGGAACUCAGGAGGCCAGGAUGGAGGAAGCAGGAGUGGAAGGUCAUUGGACUCCCUUUCUGGUUUAAGCUUGGCCAUGCGAUGCCUUAAGUAGGGCUCGUGGUCCUCAAAUGUCACCUCCAUCCUGAUGCCACAAUGUCUGUAUUGCCACUAUUCCAAUUCUUCUUUUGGGUGAAGUCUUACUCCACCUGCGGGGAGAGCACAUGAAAUCAUUAGCAAGUGCUGGCACAGACAGCCGUUCCCCUCCCUGGCCAGGCCGGAGGGGCUGGAUGGUGGUGGGGGGUGUGGGUGAGGUCAUGAAAGGCGAGAUGAAGGGUGUCUAGACACUCCCUUUGCCGAGGGCUGGUGGCCUGUUGCUUGCUCUCUAGGACAACGUGGAUCUGUUGGGGGUAAUGGCAGACACUGUUCUUUCGCAUCCAGCUGUCUCUUCCUCUCCUGAGUCCCACGGGGUCCUGGGCCCGAUAGGCUCUGUCACCUCCAGCCUGUAUUGGGUAGCCACCUGCCACUACUCAGGCCGGGUUGGAAGGGCCUGUGAGGGGUGGGGUGGGGGAUCCAGUUCAUGGCUUCCAGGGCCAAUUUGGGUGAAAUUCAGAUGUUCUUCGACUCCUGUGUUUCUACUUCCCAGUUUCAUUCUAAAUGGAAAACAUUUCUGUAGGUUUAAGUCCAAGGUGCAGCCCCAGAGCGGGUAUUUUCCCUUUUGAGAAGUGGAGGCUACCCUGAGCCUUGGGAAAAGUACUCAGAGAGAAUCUCCCCCAUGAGGCAGUGUAGCUUAAGGAGUUAGGUAUUCUGAGUACCUCCAAAGGCUGUUCGCUCUUUCCAUUCCAGCUCAGACUGCCUGAGUUCAAGUCCUGGUGUUGCCACUUACUAGCUGGGUAUAAGUUAUUUAACAUUUUAGUUCCUCGAUACCCUAAUCUAUAAAAUGGGGAUGAAAAUAGUGUCUAUGGUAGGGAAUUAGUAUGAAGAUUAAACAGUUUAAAUUGUGUCAAGGCCAGGCAUGGUGGCUCACUCCUGUAAUGCCAGCAUUUAGGGAGGCCGAGGCAGGAGGAUUGCUUGAGCCCAGGAGUUUGCCACCAGCCUGGGAAACAUAGUGAACCCCAUCUCUACAAAAAUAAAAAUUAGCAGAGCAUGGUGGUGCAUGCCUGUAGUCCCAGCUACUUGGGAGGCUAAGGCAGGAGGAUUGCCUGGGCCCAGGAGUUUGAGGCUGCAGUGAGCUGUGAUCACACCACUGUACUCCAGCCUGGGUGAGAGAGUGAGACUGUCUAAAAAAAAAUGUUUAAGUGUGUCAAGUGCAGAAAACAGUGCUUAAUGCAUGCCAUGUGCCAUGCAAAUGUUUGCUCUUAUUUAUUUCUUUUUUUUUUUUUUUUUUUUUUUGAGACGGAGUCUCGCUCUGUCGCCCAGGCUGGAGUGCAGUGGCGCGAUCUCGGCUCACUGCAAGCUCCGCCUCCCGGGUUCACGCCAUUCUCCUGCCUCAGCCUCCCGCGUAGCUGGGACUACAGGCGCCCGCCACCACGCCCGGCUAAUUUUUUGUAUUUUUUAGUAGAGACGGGGUUUCACUGUGUUAGCCAGGAUGGUCUCGAUCUCCUGACCUCGUGAUCCGCCCGCCUCGGCCUCCCAAAGUGCUGGGAUUACAGGCGUGAGCCACCGCGCCCGGCCUGCUUUUAUUUAUUUCAAGAAGCAUACUCUUCUGGGCAGAGCAUCCUCCUAGGACUCUGGAGAGAUGGAGCAUCCACAAGGCCACCAAUGGGACUAGUAUCCCCCAGCGUUCCCCAAGCAUCUCUUCCAUCGAGCUAUUGCCUUGCUCACAACCCCUCAGUGAGUUGCUUGUCUGGAGAUGCAGGCCAAAUCAAUCCUGUCUACAAUCUGCUGUCUGGCUGUGCCCAUUCCUGGCCACAAACCCGCUGCUUCACCAGGAAAAUCUGUUUAUGGGCCCCAUUCUCCUACUUGUUUUCACCUCUGCCUUACCCUGCCUGAAAAGCUCUCCUUCCUCACCUUUCCCUCCAAAGCCUAUCCAUUCUUCGAUUCCAGCUCCAGUUCUGCCCUGAAGGCUUGUCCAUGCCUGUGGAUCACCAUCCUCUGCCUCCUGUCUCCUCCUGCUUCCCCGGCUGAUGUCUGCCUCGUAUCAUCAGUCAUCUCCUCCCAAGCAGCCUAUUGCUUUCUCUACUGACGCCUUGAGCCGGAAGCCAGACAGCAGAUAUUCCAAAACUGAAAACCUGUGGAUUUGCCUGUAUAUUUGCUAUAUUUCUUAAGAACACAAGAAAGGCUGAACUUCCUGGAAGUUAUUCCUAGGGCCAGCGUCACGGGAGUUUGACGGUUGGCUGUGUAGAGCAGUCACUCCAAGGCAGUUGAUUUGCUCUGUUGUUCUUCUCACCCCAUCAGUAUUAUAAUGUGGAGCUUCCUCUGCAUUGUGCCGUGAGAUGACAGCAAAAGGGCUGUGGCCACUGCCUGGGACUUGAUCCUUCGCUGAAACAGGGACACUUUCUAUGACUAGUGCUACGUUACAUUUAUCUGUUCUAUUGGACACAUGUUCGUAGGCCCAGGAUCAGAAUAAAAUAGCUCCACAGCUAGAAGAAAUCAGUUUAUAGGCAAACAAGACUCUGAUGUUGGCCCUUAAAAAGAAACUGCUCAUAUUACAUAUUACAGUUUAAUUUUGUCCGCGUUAGAAGGUCCCAGUGAUAUCUUUGCUUCUUGACUGUAGUCUAGUGUUUAAAGGUUAUUUGCCCAGGUGACCUUUUUAUCUUUUCCAAUCUAAAUACAGUUGUCCCUUGGUAUCCACAGGUGAUUGGUUCCAGGACUCCCCAACCCCUUGGAUACCAAAAUCCUUAGGUACUCAAGUCCCUUGCAUAAAAUGCAUAGUGUUUUCAUAUAACCUAUGCACAUCCUCUUGUGUACCUUAAAUCAUCUCCAGGUUACUUAUACUACCUAAUAUGGUGUAAGUGCUAUAUAAAUAGUUCUUAUGAUGUACUGUUUUCAUUUACUGGUAUGAUUUUUAUUGUCAUAUUAUUUUUAUUAAAAAUUUUCUUUUCAAAUAUUUUCUAUCUGUGGCUGGUUGAAUCACCAAGAAUGCAAAGGGCCAACUGUAUCAACAGCUCAAAGUGGAGAGCCCAGGGCCCAGGCACGGAUCAUCAGGGGAAGUACAGGGCUGGCAGAGAAGAAACUGGACUCCCAGAGCCGGCUCUUUCUGUGGGCUGGGAGCUCCUCCAGGCUGCUGGGUUAGGACCAGCAGGACGGCCAGAACCAUGGAGACAUGCUGCUGGUUUUGGAGAUGGGGAGAGGCAUGUGACCUUUUCUGGGAAUCAAAUCAGAGUGAAACCAGAAGAAGAAUCUAGACUUCUUGGGGUAACUUGGCAAACAAAGCUCAGAUAGACGGAGGGGUGUUCAAGGAACUUGGCACGAUUUCCUAUGGGCUAAGAGAAGACGCUUGUAAAUCUGAAAGGGCAACAUAGGGAAAGUUCCUACAGGGAAGGGAGACGGUCAACCCCCUCUCCCUGACCCCGGGCUUGGUUAGGGGGCAGAGAACGGGAGGGGGUCAAGGAGGCUGUCUGUUUCCCUCAGUGCAAAUGCCUGGACAGCACGUGUGUGCAGGCUGUGCCCCUGACCUGAUGAGCACCUGAUGGGUGGCUGUUGACUGACUGUCCAUGCAAGGGGUGUGGGCUGUGCUUGGCAGCCUCCAGCAGGCAGGGCUUGUUCACCUGCGUCCUGUCCAGCACGCGGCAGGAGCUAUCCUGGCCUCAGUGUUAAAAGGUGGCCCUGGGUCGAAGGAGUGGCAUAAGGUCCCACUUGGGUGCUUGAUAAUGAUCUAGAGCCUCGUGCCCUUAUCUUCACGGCCUCCUUGUUUAUGGCAGCAAGUCCUCGUCCUGUGGGCCCCAUUUCUAAGCUGGACGUCCAGCAGUUCCCUCAGAAAGUGCUGUGGGGCCCAGGCGUCCUCUCAGAGGAUAUGAGCACUCCUGAGUCGUUCUCACUGCGUGUGUUCAUUUCACUCACUGCCUGCUUCCUUCGUUCAGCUCCAAGUACCUGCUGAUGUUUCUGAGCUAGGAGGGCUUCCUUCAGGUAAUAGGGGAAGCAUGAUCUGGAAAAGGGAAGGUUUCCUUUUGCCCCAUGGAGAGACGUCCUGAGACACUUCAUCAACCAGGAAGGCUCCCAGGCAGCCACUGGGUUGCAGUGAAAGUGUUUAGCCGCUGGUGACUGCUCUGGUGAGACUUGUGAGAGAGAACAGUGACGGUGAGCACAGCAGCCCCUCAGAAAGCAAACCAGGGAGUGGCUGCCCGACGUGCACGGUUUCUAAUUCACACGGUCCCUGCAUAAGCUAGGCAUUCCUGUAUCCUGUUUUCACAUGAGGAAACUGAGGCCCCUGGAACUCACGUAGUUUGCCCAAGGCCAUCUAACUAGGAGGCCGUAAUUAGUGAAGCUGGGAUUCACACCUAGGGCUGUCUGAUUCCGAAGCUGGGCUCUUUCCACGGUAUGGUCUGAGGGUGCAGUCUAGACCGGGGACUGAUGGGGUUUGUCUGAAGGAACAUGAGAUGGUGGAGUGCCAGGCUGGCUGGUGUGGGGCCCCGGCUGGGAUGAGACGGUGUCUUCAAGUGUCAGGGAUGGACGAAUGUCCCUGUCAGGAGAUGUUGGUCCCUGGCAGCCAGGCAUGGUGGCAGCACUCCCAGCCUGGCCUGCCCUGCACAAACCUUCAGGCACACAAGGCCUCUUGACAGAGUGAUGAUUGGGAUUCCAUGCCUGCACCAGUGGUGGGAGAGAUGCGGGUGAAACAAGGGGGAAAGGACCGUAAUUACCUCUUAACAGGUUUCCACAUUUCUCUGCUGUCAGAAUGGUUUUGUUUUCUGAUUUAUUUUGAUCUGCUUGAAAAUUAGUUGUGGCAGUGUGUUUGGUGUGUAAUCAUUGUCCUGCUAGCUAGCAGUCAUCAUCAGCAAUGUUAGCCGGCAAACGUGAUCUUUCUUUCCUUUGCCCAAUACAUGUCAGGCUCUGUGUGGCAAGGGCGAGGGAGAGGCAUGACUAUGUGUCUCUGCCUGUCUGUGGACCCCGACUCCUCACCAUCACCCAACAGGGGACAGUCCUGCUGGCUGUGUCUUCCCGGAAGGCUCGUGCCGGCACAGAUUGUCUGGUGAGCCCGCCAGCUGUACCGCAUCGCUCUGUGCAUGUGACCAAGCUCUCUCCUGGCCCCCCGUUCCAUCCCACAUGCAGCCUCCGUCCACUGUCCCCCAGCGCGCAACCCCCACACAGCCCCACCCUUGACCUGCCACCUCCAUCUGCACCUGCUUGUGGAGCCUGUGUCAUGGAAGAGAGGCGGCCUGACCACUCUAAGCCCACGGCACCACUGGAUCUUUCCCCUCUCUCUGUGAGAAGAUGGCCAGUCUCAGAUUGGAUUUGACCUUUUCUCUUGUGGUCGGGCCAGGAAGAGCAGGAAACCAUCGUUAGGGCACGGAAGCAUAGGUGGGAGAAGACAGCCAGCACUGUAGAGUGUGGAGGGCUCAGUGCUUCCAGGGGUGGAUGUUCAGCAGCAGGCCCCCUCUGGUCUUUGGUGAAGGUUGUCUGCAACGAGCCCUCAAAAAACGUGGGUUUUGAGCCAGACGGAAAGUCAUCAAGCCCAGUUACAGUCAUCCCUUGGUGUCUGUGGGGAGACUGAUUCCUGGACCCCUCUCAGAUACAAAACCCAAGGAUGCCCAUGUCCUUUUAUGUAUGUAGAUUAUAUGCACAUACUACACCAUUUUAUGUAUUUUACAUAUGGUAUAUUUCAUUUUUUAAUUUGUAUAAUUUUUUAAUGAUUUUUUUUCCUAAUAUUUUUUACCCAAAGCUGGUCGAAUCCGUGGGUACAGAGGGCCAGCUGUAUUUCAUUAUUCAGAGCAGAAAACUGACACCUAACACAUAGGCAAGGAUAUGCUUAAGAACUACUGUUGGUUGGCGCCAGGCCUGGGAUAUGAACCCGAAUCUCUGUUGCAGUCUGUCCAAAAGUGGGCUGAGCUGGUUUCAGGAUUGGAGCAGACAGCUGUCCAUGUGCUGGAAUUUGAGGGAUCUGCCAUUUCCUCCCUAGAAUUUCUACCUUUAGCAUUACCUUUGAAGUAAGUCAGGGAUUACCAAACAUUACCAAAGAACUCUUUCUUCCCACAUGACCCAACACAGAACAGAAAAGAGCAGAGAUGCUUUGGUUCAAGUGCAUGGGAAAGAACGGAUGAUUCAGAGCUGACCUGUUCAGCUUCUCCUGAUUCUCCAACGAGGUCCCCUAUGCUUCUUGCUAGAACCUUUAGAGCUCCAUGGAGUAUAGUGAGAAAUGUUUAUGGCCUCUAUUACCAGGGCAGAUGAAUAGGUGCAGACGUUAACAGCUUCUACACCUUAAUUAGCAUGGGUGUGUUUAGCAGAGUAAUUGAGAUCAGAGACUAGGUUGAUAAAAGAAUAGGGUUCCCAACAGGAUAGUUUUUGAUUAAGUAAAUAUUUGGAGCACUAUGGAAAUGCUUGAAACAUAGGAAGGGCAAGUUCAGCUGGGGUGCAUUGGGAUGACAGAGGGUGGAGUAGCGGGGUAGGGUGAGAAUCAGGGCAGCCUGGAAGCUGGGGCCUGAAUCACUGGGGCAGGGACCAGGGAGACCAGAGAGACCAGAGAAGGUCUCAGACAUAAACUCUAGCUACUCCAUAAAACUACCUGGAGCAUGAAAAUCCCAGCGCCUCUGCCACGGCCUAGACUCUGCACGUCACAGGGGUUGCAAAGUCACAAAAAAGAUGAUGGCAUUGAGCUUUCCUAUCAGGAACUAUGUCCUCAACUAAUAUUAAUAGCUGACAUUUGCACAGCACUUCACAGUUAAUAUAACACUCUCAUAUGUUAGGUGCUUCUCUUAAUACCCCUUGAGGUAGCUAUUGUUAUUGUUAUUAUUACCUUCUUUUAAAGGUGUGGAAACACAGGGUCAGGGGCCCCGUGAGCCAUUACUUGGAAACACUGUCAUUAACAAUUACUUCUUAUAGUUGUUUCUAGCAACUCAUGUCCUGGAAAUGUCUGGUUUAAUUCAUCUCUCUCUCCUUCUAGUAGACAGACAGACAGACAGACAGACAGACACACACACACACACACACACACACACACACACACACACACACACACACACAGAGGGCUGAUAGGGAAGAUGACUUCUCUUCUUGCUUCUCCAUAGCUGUUUCCCAAUUGUUGCUCUCUGACAAAAAAAACCCCUUCAGAACCCUCAGCCCUGCUCAGAAAUCUAAGGAGGUUUCAGGCAGCAACAGUGGGGUCCACCCCACCCUGAAGGGCUGCUGCAAAGAUCUCCAAGAGGAGGCCCCCAACACCAUUCCUCUUGAAGGUCCCAGUUCAGUGCGGCUUGAGUCCUUCACCUCUGAGUCUCAGCCAGGCAACAUCCGAAGGAGCUGAGGAAGCCUUCUCUCUCCUGCCUUCUCUACCUCACAGGAGAUGGCUCCUGUCCUCCCCAUCUCCCUCCCACCAUAACCGCUCACCAAAAAUUGACCUGUUUUCUCUGAUGCUGCUUUAUUGCAUGUUAAUACUUCAUUACUGGACUUGAUUCCGUUACACACGCACAGAGCAAGCAGAGCAGAGGGUCCUGAGCAUGCGGCAUUAGAUGGAGAAACUGUCUCCAGUCUCACUCGUCGUGCCGAGAUGGGUUGCACGGCACACCACUCUUAGCACAGACUGAGGCUGGCCAGGCCACCCAUGCUGGGUGCUGACAGGCCUCAAGCCUGCAGUGAGGGCCAAUCUCAGUCCUCAUGAUCUGCACUGGGGACAGAAGGCAUCUGAUUUUAAAUUCCAUAGGAAUAAACCAAUGGGUGGAGUCACCAAAUAUCCAGAUGUUUUCUCCCAGCUUUCAUAUCUGCCAUUUAUUUUUAAAGAUGUUUUAAUGGACUAGGUAUAAUUUUCAUACAUAAGAUUCACCCACUCAGUCUGUUGUUCUAUGAAUUUUUAAAAACAGCUUAUCUGAGGUAUAAUUGGCAUAUAACAAACUGCACAUAUUUCAACUGUAUACUUUGGAAAGUUUCAACAUUGACCAUCAGUGCAAUCAAGAGGGUGAGCAUAUCCAUCACUCCCAAAAGUUUCCUUUUGCCCCUUUGUAAUCCCAGUAGCUCAGCCCUCCUCCCCACCCCUGCUAUCUCUUUUCUGUCAUCAUAGAUUAGUUUAUAUUUUCUAUUGUUUUAUAUCAAUGAAGUCAUACAGCAUGGACUCUCUUGAGUGCCUUCCUUCAUUCAGCAUAAUUAUUUUGAGGUUUACACAUGUCUCUGGAUGUACUGAUAGCUUAUUCCUUUUUAUUGCUUAGUUGUGUUCCAUUGUAUGGAUAUAGCACAGUUUAUCCAUUCACCUGUUGAGCUGUUUCCAGUUUUGAGCUAUUUAAAUAAAGCAGCUAUGAACAUUUGUGUAUAAGGCUUUGUACGGAUGUAUGCUUUCCUUUUCUCUUGGGUAGAUACCUGGGAGUGGAAUGGUUACAUCAUGUGGUAGUGUACGUUUAGCGUUUUAAGAAGUUGCCAAACUCUUUUCCAAAGUGGUUGUGCCAUUUUGUGCUGCCAUCAGCAGUGUAUGAGAGUUUUGGUUCUUCUACAUCCUCACCAACACCUGGUGUGGUCAGUAUUUUUAAUUUUAAUUUUAGUCAUUAUAAUGUGUAUGCAGUGGUAUCUCAUUGUGUUUUAAAUUUGCAUUUUCCUGAAGACUAACAAUAUUGAACAUCUUUCCUGUGGUUAUUGGCCACUCAUAUAUAUUUUUUGGUGAAGUAUCUGUUCAUAUAUUUUGCACACAUUAUACUUGGGUCAUUUUCAUAUUAUUGCAUUAUGAGGUUUCUUUAUAUAUUCUGGCUGGCUAUAAGUUUUAAAAUCAGAUAUGUGCUUUGCAAAUAUUUUAUCUCAGUCUGUGUCAUCUUUUCUCUCUCAUCUUUGUUGGAAGUCAUUUUCCAUAUAUGUGUUGGUCUAUUUCUAGACCAUCUGUUCAGUUCCAUUGAUCCAUUUGUCUAUUUUUACACCAAUACCACACUGCUUUGAUUACUAUAGCUUUAUAAUAAUAAGUCUUGAAAUCAGAUAGUGCUAGUUACCCCUUCAUCUUUGUGAUUUUUCAUAGUUGUUUGGUUAUUCUAGACCUUCUGCAUUUCCAUAUGAAUUUUAAAAUCAGUUUGCCUAUUUCUACAAAGAAAAGUGUUUGCUUCAUGUAUUUAUUUGGAAGCUCUGUUAAUAGGUGCAUGAACAUUUAGGAUUGUUAUGCACCCUUGAAGACUUGACCCCUUUGUUGUUUUGAAAAGCCCUUUUUAAUCGCUAGUGAUACCCUUGGCGCUGAAAUUUAUUUUGCCUUAUAUUAAUAUAGAUGCUCCAGUGUCCUUUUGACUGUGUUAGUAUCGUAUAGUUGGUCCUUUGUAUUCUCAGGUUCUGCACAUGCAGAUUGAAAAUAUUGGAAAAUAAAAAUAAAAAAUAUAACAAAAGUAAUGCAAAUAAAAAAUACAGUAUCAACUAUUUACAUAGCAUUUAUAUUGUAUUGGUUUUUAUAACUAAUCUAGAGAUGAUUUAAAGCAUAUGGAGGGAUGUGGAUAGGUUAUAUGCAAAUAUCAUACCAUUUUAUAUAAGGGACAUGAGCAUCUGAGGAUUUGGGUAUCUGUGGGGCAGGAGGAGGUGUGUCCUAGAAUCAAUCCUCUACAGUUACUGAGGGACAGCUGCAUAUCUUUUUCUGUUCCUUUACUCUUAACCUAUUUGUGUCUUUAUAUUUACAGUGGAUUUCUCAUAAGCAGCAGAUAGGUGGGUCUUGCUCUUUUAUUCAGCCUGACUUAAUUGGCAUAUUCAACCAAUUUGCUAUUGAUACCUUGCUAUGCUUAAGUUUAACCUCUUGUUGUUUUCUGUUAGUCCCAUGUAGCCUUUGUUCCCUUUUCCCUCUUUCUCUGCCUCCUUUUGGAUUAACUGAGUAUUUUUAAGGAUUCAGUUUCAUCUCUUCUGUUGACUUAUUAGCUAAAAUCCAUUGUUUUGUUAUUUUAACAGUUGCUGUAGGGCUCAUAGUAUACAUUCUUUUUUUUAUUAUACUUUAAGUUUUAGGGUACAUGUGCACAACGUGCAGGUUAGUUACAUAUGUAUACAUGUGCCAUGUUGGUGUGCUGCACCCAGUAACUCGUCAUUUAACAUUAGGUAUAUCUCCAAAUGCUAUCCUUCCCCCCGCCGCCACCCCACAACAGGCCUUAAUCAUCGCAGUUUGUCUUCAGUUGUUACUAAACCACUUCACAUAUAGUACAGGAACUUCACAAUAGCACACUUAGAUCACUCCCUUCCUGGCCUUUAUGCCGUUGCUGCCAUACAUGCUAAUUGUGCAUUUGUUCUAAACCUCACAAUACAUUGUUACUGUUUUCGUUUAGGCAGUCAAUGAUCUUGUCAAUGAAAAUCAUAUAUACUUAACCAUGUCAGUACCAUUUCUGGUACCCUUGAUUCCUUUAUGUAGAUCCACACUUCUAUCUCAUAUUAUUUUCCUUCUGCCUAAAGGACUUCCUUUAGCAUGUCUUGCAGUGCAAGUCUGCUAGGAUUAAAAUCUUUUAGCUUUUCUAUGUCUGAAGAGAAGUCUUUAUUUUUCACUUUUUAUUUCCGAAGGAUAUUUUUACUUAGUAUAGAAUUCUCAGGUGAUAGUUUUUCCUUCCGUGACUAUAAAGCUGUGAUUCCACUGUCUUCUUGCUUGUGUUGUUUCUAAUAAGAAACCUGCUGUCCGUCUUGUCUGUUCCACUGUACCUGAAUGUGUCUUUAUGCCCUGGCUACUUCUGACGUUUUCUCUUGAUCACUGCUUUGAGGAAUUUGAUUAUGAUGUGCCUUGGUAUAAUUCUUUUUUCAUGUUUCUAGUGCUUGGCAUUCCUUGAGCUUCUGGAACCUGUGGGUUUAUAUUUUUAAAAUUAAAAUUGAUAAAUUUCUGGCUAUUAUUUAUAAUUUUUUUUUUUGCUUCUCCCCCCAUUCCUGUGAGAACUCUAAUUACACAUGUAUUAGGCUGCUUGACGUUGUCGAACAGAUCACUGGCACUUUCAUUUUAUUUAAUUCUUUUUUUUCCUAUGUCCUUCAUUUUGGACAGUUCCUAUACUAUGUGUUUAUGAAUCUUCUCUUUUUUUGCCAUACAUAAUUUGCCUGCCUUCUUCCCUCCCUCAUUCCUUCUCUUCCUUCCUUUAGAAGAACCUAGGGGGAUUUACCUAAUUGUAUAAUGAUUAUUAUUUCAGAACCAAUCCAGAGCUUCCGUUCCCAAAGCCAGACUACCGGUUGGAGAUUCUGGAGGGAGGGAACACAGGGGGUGACAUUCCUGGAAUUUGGGGGACUUCGCAGGACUUGACACUUUAGAGGCUGGAUUAGGGUACAUCCAAUUUCUCCUGCUUCCUCCCUCUUCUUCUUUCCUAUCCCCAAAGUAAGGAGAGUCCUGUGAGCCCAAAGGCACUAGACAGCCCUAGCACACUCUUGGCAGGCAGGGCUGAACGCCCGGAUUUCCCUCUCAGUAGGGAAGACUUAGGGAGCCUCUCACAGGAGCGAGACAGGAACAGCAGCUUUAUGGAAACUGAGUUCCAAGUCAACACCCGGAAGAAAACUCAGGCUCCCCUGUAGGCCUGGAAAGCUUUGUCUGAGACAAUGACCUUAGGAGGAGGUCACCAAAACCACUCCUUCCCUCACAGCUCACGGGAUCAGAGUCAGCUGUGCCUGCUGAAUGAGUGGUCAGGUACAGCGCACCUGCCUCCUGCCAGAGAAAAGGAGACCUGCAGUCUGGCUGCGGCAGGUCUCAGCAGAAUCUUUAGCUUUCUUCAGGCUUGAUCAGCCACCUCAAGACCUGUGCUCAUUUAAAGAACAGAGAGUACAUGUAAGUUAGGAAUGUUCUCGACUUCAAGUAACAGGAUACUUAAGAACUCUGAAUUGGUUCAGCAGCUCAAGAUGCCACUGAGAACCAAGGCUCUUUCUCUCUUUCCACUUCCUUAUACUAAGCCUGUUGGCUUUUCAUAUUCAAGCUGAUUUCCUUAUGGUUGCAAGAUGGUUGUCAGUGGGGCUCCAGGCAUCACACCCCCAUUCAAGGCAGGUGGAACCAGGAAGGAGUGGAGCCAAUAACACUCUGGCCCUUUUUUUUACAUAAAACAGAGGCUUUCCCAGAAGUCCCUAGCAUAGUACUUCUUGAAUUUAAUCUACACAAGGAUCCCCUGGGAAUCUUGUUAAAAUAUAGGUUUGGAUGUUGGGUAGAGCCUGAAAUUCCACGUUUUGAUCAAGCUGCCCGAGUGUGUCAGUGUGGCUGGAAACUGCAUUUUGAGUAGCAAGGUGCAAGGCUACUUCUCCUUACUCUUAGUGACACAAUCCAAUUAACUAGCUACAACUGGCUGCAAGGGAGGCUGACAAAGUAUUUUACCUUUUUCAGGGGAGACUUUGGGUAGCAAACCAAUAUCAGCCACAGAAUUCUACUGAAAAUGCAGGGUAUGGAAGCAUCUGAAGUCACAAGGUUGGGCUGGACAAAUUAGAGCCUUCACCUCCACGAGGGAAGUCCAUGGACCCCUUACUCUAUAUCCACACUCAGCCUGCAGGGACAGGGCAUUAUUGCCACGAGCCAGUCUGUCCUGUAUACUCACUGGAUUAGGGAUUCCACUUUCAGAAUUUUAUCACCUUAGCACCCAGCACAGUGCCCGGUACACAGCAGGUACCCAAUACGUGUCUAUUACACUGAAAUGUUUAUUGGCACAUAGUCUAAAGACAGUGCCAGGGAAUCCUGUGAAAAUGCAGUGCUGAUUCCGGAGAUCCAGGAUGGGGAUCCAAGAUGAUGCAUUUGCAACAAGCUCCCAGAGGAUGCUGCCGUCUGGUCCGAAUCCUGGGCCCCACUUUCAAUAGAAAGGGCCUGGGACAUGCAGAGUAAAGUCCUUCCUCCUGAGUUAGCAGCAGCUACUUGUGCUUCAUUCAUGCAGGCACGAAGCUGCUUGCAAGGAUGUUAGCAGAUAUUAGAUAUGGCUGGUGGGGAGGAGUAAGGAGGGCCUUGGCUAUGCCUUUUUCCAAGAUCUGGGAGCUGGAUGCUCAGAGAUCUCAUCCCUGGCUUCCUUGUCCACUGAAAACAAAAAUCAGCAGUAUACCCGGGUGAGGAGAGAGACCAGCCAAGCAUGUCUUUCACCAACUCUUAACUUGCUUGGCUCCAGCCACGAAACAGGAACCCGCCAUCCCCCUAGCUCAUCCCUGGCCCUCAGGAAGUGCUGAGGCUCUCCCGGGCUGCAUGAGUGAGGGGCCGAUGUCUUUCAGAUGUUGGGGCUUCAGCGGGGGAGUGGGGUAAGCUGGGGAGAGGGAGCAUUUUUUUGUGAAUAUUUUACCCAUGGAAAAAGCCGAAUUCUCUAGAGCAGACCUCUGGAUUUUUUUUUUUUUUUUUUUGGUAGUGGGAAGUGAGUUACUGGAAUUUCUUCUGAAUUCGAAGCCAAACAAAGUUUCUUGCGGUUUUAGUUACACAAGCGGCUGCUGCCAAGAUGGAAUGAAUGAGAAGAGCCACUGAAAGGAAGAGACAGUGAGGGGCUGGGGGAGGAGGGUGCAGAACAGGACCCAGGCGCAGCACAGAACAGCCCUCCAGGCGGGCACACUGCCCGCUUCUAUGCUGUCAACUCUUUUCUAUGCUGUCAACUCUUUAGGGAGAGAGCUCACUGUUCUGUCUGCCUCCCAGGAUCAGAAUUAAAGAGAAAAAAGGUCUGUGAAAGUGAGGCAUACACUGGCAGACACGCACACAUGUAAAUGAUUAUCAUUGCUUUGUAAUUUACCAUAAUUCGGGCCUGUGCACUCUAUGGGGUCCUGCUUUGUUCAGUUUCCUGACUGAGUGGCAGUUGGACGAGACACUUCUGCCCCUAAGCUGCAGGCAGGCGGCUCUCAGUUCAGCCUUGUUCCAGUGUGAGUCUGCAGGGAAGGGAUGCCCGCUGCUCCAAGGGGAAGCAAGGAUAAUUAACUUCUACCGGUGAUCCCCAAACUUCAUUUUCCUUAGAGCCUGAAGCCUCCUCCUUGUUACCUUCCUGGUAGCCACAGAAUGGGCCAGGGCCAUGUGUCUCCUUUCAUUUCUCCAGCCUGCCCUCUGGUGGGCGAUGCCCUUCAGUGAGCGGGGCCUGGGGUAGGGCCGUUCUGCAGAUCCUGGGUUGGCUUCCAGUGGUGCCUGGCAUCUCUCCUGCUCUCUGGGAGGAGGGACGGGCCGCUAAGUGCUGACGGCAGCCUGUCACUCACACCUUGCUCCCUCUGUAGAAACACUCUGUUUCUCUCCAUUCCAUCCCUGUGUGUUACCUAGCAGGAAUUUCCUCUUCCUUGGGUCAAGCGGGUGGGAAGGGCUCAUGAUUGCUGACUGAACUCAACCCUUUACACUGGGCAUUCAGUGUCAUCACAUUGAUAACUUGAAAUGGGCAGUAGUGGGAAUAUUUACACCACAAAAACUGGCAUAUGCUACAACCAGAGCUUUCCUUCCCCCUCUCCUAAAAGCCAGUUGUUAAAACAUUUAACAACAUACCACUGGCUGGAACCACUUGUGAAGGUGAGGUAGGGCUGCAGGGAGAGUCCAGGUAGUGGAGGAAAUGGCAGCCUUCCUUCCUUGCCCAUAGCCUGUGCCGGCUACCACUCAGGAGCGUUUGGAACUUAGGAGCUCUGUUCUGAAACUCUCCUUAAACACCUCCUCAUCCCAGAUGGGUUGGCUUUCAAUUAGAGGACUCCGCUGUGCAGCAGAGCUGGAAUCACUCAGAGCAGAGUGAUGGACGAGACUUAUUUUCUACGUUCCUAGGCUCCCUUCCACCGUUCCCUGGUCUCCAAACCCCAUGUUCUUAUCUGACGGUAUUUCUACUCUUUUUCUCAACCUGCUGCUAAUGUACUCAUUCAGGAGAGGCUGGUGCGCACCUACCUAGCGACUUUUUGGGCGAGAGUGGAAGGGAGUGUUUUAUUAGGAAUUUAAGUUAUACAUGCAAGGGAUACCACAUGGAUGGUAAAGUUCAGCCGUUUUCCACUGAAGAUAGGGAUUCUUCAAACUGCACAGCUUUUCAGGCCAUUUCCUUUAGGCCAGCCCUCAUGUUACAGUCAGGGAGUUUGAGGCCCAGGGACGUUUCCCAGGGGAUGAACUCUAACUAAAAAUGAAGGUCUCCUAGUCCUGUCGCCUGUUUUCUUCACUCAGCUGUUUAAAGGGAUGUUGCCUCGUGUGAAUUAUGGAUGACUGCCGGAGUUAUUAGAAUGAACAGAGUUACCAAGAGCUAAAUACUCGCCAUUUAUACCUGGCCGGUUCUGUUUUCAGUUGUCCUUUUUCUUUGCAAAGAGCUUUGAAACAAGACUGGCCUGCUUGACCUUCCAUUUAGAGUUAAUGUCAAAGCUUGCUGAGGCCUGGGAAACAGGUUUGGUUGUUUGCAUUAAAAGGGAGUAGGAAGCAAGAACCUUAAUUAUCCUAGGCUCUGCUCUAUUCUUUAAUAAGGAAUUUGAGAAGAUGUCUUAGUGGCUAGUAUUCCUAGAACAUAAUACUUGAAAGUGGAGCGAGCGGGUGAAAAUAUGCCUUAGGCAGGAAGCCAGAUAGGAAGGGCCAGUGUCUACAGGCUCUGCACAGGAAGGACCCUGUGGGAAGAUGUACAGGUAACAGGGCCUGAUGGCCCAGCACCCAGCUGCUUUGCAGUAGUUCUGGCUUCGGGGCUUCUCUGGGUGGCUGAAGAACAGGUCUGUGAGGUUCAUUCGGGGGCUCCUGUUGAUCAAGUGUGGAUGGUGUGCCGGACACAGGGCUGGGGCUGCAGAGUCGAGGAGGCGCAGUCCCUCCCCCGAGAGCACUGUGGCCAGUGGAAGGAGACAAACAAGAAACAAUGACAGGACCCAGGCUCAGGCUGUCAUGAGCAGCCCUCCUCUGGAGAGUGGGAAAUGUGAGUUGGGAACUCAUGCUUACAACUUUUAUGUUUUUUCUUACUGAGCAAUGCUCAUAACAGGAGAAAGGAUUUCUUCACUGUCCCAAAAGAAUGUGCCUCAGGACUGAAAUUGGUAGUGGCCCUCCCUUACUCAUGUGCCCCAAGCACAUUGGAACGCCAGAGGAAUUUUAAGCAGAUUUUUAUUCUUGUUUUCUGGAGGCAAAAUCUAAAGCGAGGGGUGUGUGUGGAGAGGUCAUGCAAGAAAUUUGGAAGCUGUGUGCCUUGUCUGGCUGACUGUCCCAAUUACCCCAGCCUCCGGGCCCAGAGGUGGGAGGUCCCACAGGGGCCUGCCCCCAGUUGACAGAGGGCUCUUUACCAUUAGGACCCCUUCUGGAUUUCUCAAAUUAUGGCUUUUCCUCCUUCAUGGUCUCCUGGUACUUUUAACCCCUUCUCUCCAUUUUUCCCAAGGAAUGUUCUAGAGGAAGGGUUUCUGGGAAUGACCUUCCCAAGGGGAGGGAUCGGGCAAGUAUUGAGUCAUUCCUGCUCGUCUUGUUUGUGAUUGCGACCCGUGCCUCAUGGAGUGUCGCUGGAUACGUGAUCAGUGUCCCUUGAGGCAGUGCUGCACAUGGUGCAGUUCCAGAGAAACGAGGGAAUGAGAAUGAACGUGGCUGCUCGUGUCUUCAGUGGCUGUUUAGGAAGGUUGGGUCAGUGGAGAUCAGGGCCCGAAGAGCAGUUUCAGCCUGCAUGGUCUUGAUGUGGGCUUGGCUGAUGAGAAGCUCUCUCCAAUUCUGUGAUUCUGGGUAAAGCAGACCAUGUGCCAUCGGGAGUGCUCCUGUGAUUCUUUAAGUUAGUAAUUCUCAUCCCUGGCCACACGUAAGAAUCAUCUGGGAUCAUUUAACAAAAACAACGCUAGGAUCCUACGGUCUACUCCACGCCCUUCAUUUUCAAACUUGAGUGGGCACCAGAAUCACCUGGAGGAUUUGUGUAAACACAGAUUCCUGGGCUCCAGCUUCCGAGUUUCAGUGGCUCCAGGAUGGAGCUUGAGAAUUUGCAUUUCUAACAAGCUCCCAGGUGACUCGCUGCUGCUGGCCUGGGACCACACUUUGGAAAUCACGAUUAUGAACAGGAAUCAGAAUUUCUGAAGAUGUGGUCUGGGCAUCUGAAUUUUUUCACAUUCUCCAGGUGAUUUUAACGUAUAGCUCUGGCUGAAAAUGAUUUGUGAUCAUUUUUUUUUUUGCAUCAUCCAAUAACUAUUCAUUGGUCAGAUUAUGUGCUAGGCACUGAGUUAGAGUUGAAGACCCCCAAGAAUUCCACUGACAACUGCGUCAUCAAAGGGAACCGAGCCCUGCCCAAGGACAUACAGUUGUUUUCCUCUUCCUUGUCCUUUGGAGAAGCACAGCUGAAGCUUCCUGCCCACACCCCAGCCUCUCCUCCUUGAGCAUGAAUGUGCAGUAAGUAUGAGAGCCUGUCGUUUACCCUCCCUGGCCUCCCUCUCCAGCCAGAUUCUCUCUGAGGAGUGAGGAUUUCUUGCUAAGUACAUGAUGAUGGCCUGUUUACUUUGCUCUGGAGUUUGAGGCUCUUGCGCAGAUUCUGCCUUCCUGGACAGUUCAGGAACCAAUCAACCAGCUGGCCCUGGCAACCUAGAAAGCAUAGUUAGUUGCCCUGAAAUAGGUUGAUUGCACCCCAGAAGUGCUUUUCCGCCUCUCCCCAUCAAAGGUGUUUGCAACCCCAUUUUCCCUCUGAGUCAGCUUGUCCAUUAAUGGGUUUGUGUUCCUUGAUGGGGUCUGUUUUUCCAAGGUCUUGAGGAGUGGCCCUUUCCACACAGUUUGGCUGUGGGGCUGAGAAGGUGCCCUUGCAUUUUGUAUUGUGUGUCCGUGGUGGGUCUGUGCCUCCCUUCUGUCUGUUUUCCCUCAGGACCACCCACCGCCCCAUGCUUGAGGCGGUGAGGAAGAACAGCUAUGAGGAAGAACAUACAGAUUAAUCACCCUGCUGCGGGAUGCCAGCUACCCAUGGCUCUGGCAGCCCCAGUCAAUGGAUCCUGCAGUGUAGCCUUCAUCAGUAGAGCUGCCACUGCCAGCACCCAAAAGGUAGCACUAAUAUGCAUGUGUGACCUGAAAAUUACAAUGUAAAUGGUGGGGCAACACAUGUAUAGGAAGGUAAAUUUUAAUUAAAAGUCUGUUCUCCAACUCAGCCUGCCUUUAAAGAUACAGAAAUGCCAAGCUGUCAGGCUGCCGGUCAGGUUAAGAGGGUUCUCUCGUGCACUGUGGACCAAGCUGGGAGAACUAGGGCUUCAUUGAAAUCGGAUGCCUUUGACUAAUUAUGCACCAAAUGCAUCCCAUAUGGGGAAGAUAUGCCCUCAGGUGGUUAGCAGAGCCAGCAGGAGCCAAGCUUCCUGGAAAAUGCUGGGUCUUCUCUCCUGCAGUGUCAGGGGGCGCAGACAGUACAGAGGGAGGGUAUGAGAGUCGAGGCAUGUGCCAAAAAGGAGCAGGUGGGAAAAAAGAGCCCAUGGCCCAGCAGCAAAUUGUGUGUCUUUGAGUGGAUGUGGCUUUUGAGGCACUAUGCCCAAUAGUCAUCCUGAAUUUGCUUCGCUGCCUGGGGAGGGGGUGGAUGGAGGAGGGAAACUAGCCACCUCCAGAGGCAACCCUGCUGGACAAAACUCACUGUUAGAACCAUCAGAAGCCCAUUUUCCUGUGGAAAUCUAUGGGGAAGGGAUAGAGAAGAGCUGCAGAGUCUAUUAAAUGUGUGCUUGCUGCCUGGUCUCUGGUAUAGUCAGGAAAUCAGAUUUGUACAGUGGAAAUUCAUUCAUGCCACAAAUAUUUAUUGAGUGCCUACACUGUGCUGGUGGUACUAGGGACUGGGGAUACAGCGGUGGGUGAGAUAAAGGCACGGUGCCCUCACCGAGACUUGUGUGCCACUGGAGAACAUGGAUUAAACCAGGCGUUACGUGAUCAGUGUAUCAGUGCCAUAUGGGCAAUGGUCCAAGCUGCCGAUGGGUACACACCGGGGACACCUAGUUCUUAAGUGACUUUUUAGGAUCCCAGGUGGUCAGAACAGCUUUCCUAUUUUGCCAUUUACAUGUUCACAUUCACUUAGCUCAAGUUACCCUUCUGAUAAGAGGAAAUUCGUGUCAAGUCACAUAGAAUCACUGAAUAUUUGCACUUGGAGGAUCACCUGGCCUAAUUCUUCUGCUUUACACGUGAAGAUGCUGAAGGAGAGAAGUUAAAGAACCUGUCCAAAAUCGCACAGCUAGUUAGUAAUAAAGCUUGGAUGGAAUUCUGCUUUUCUGACUCCCAAAUUAGUAUUUCUUUGACUUUACCUCCCCUUUGGAAAAAUGAAGCGAUUCAGGGGAAGUUCCUGGGCAUUUAUGGCCAACUGCCCUCGCUCUGAAGAUUUCAUGUUUUAAUUGGCCUGGCAGAGCUGGAGUCCACAGGUGGUAAGCAUGGACAGGUGGAGAGCCAGCAUCAGAGAGGGCCUCCUGGCCAGCACCUGCCUUGCUUUGCAGAUGUCAAGGCAAUUGGGGAUUGGGGGCAGGGUAUGAUAAAGGGCAUCAGGAAAGUGGCAGUGCUGGGGCACUGUCCUCUAGGCCUCCCUGGGCUCAGCUGGGCGGGGGCGUGUUUUCAGAGAUAAUGGUGUUGACUCCCUCUGGGCAGCCCUGCAGGGUGGCAGUUCCACAACAGAAAUCUUGGAGCAGAUAUGUUGGAGGAUAUGUAUAAGAAUGAGGGAUUAGUGCUGGUCGGAGGCAGAAAAAAUGCCCUCUUGGGGAGAAAGAAAUGAUCUGUGUCAAAGGACUUCCUUUCCUAACCAGGCAGACUCUGGAAGAUGACCACGAGGCUGGGUGGGAAGGUGGCAGUGGGAACGUGAUUAAUUGUACUGUCCAUGGACAGUGAGCCGAGGAGCUUGUGCCUGGCUUUAUUAGAGACAUACACUCGGCGCUGCUCCACCCAGAAUCCAUCCUGCUGCCUCCAGGGCUGCUCCACUCCAUGUCUUAGAGAUGAGAAAAGGAGUCAAGGACUCCUACCAGCGUGGAAUGGUAACCUCUGGAGGGGAGGUAGGUCUCCCAGGGAUCUGAGACAUGUUCCAGGAAUGGAAUUCCCAGUAUCCUUGGCAGUCAUUUCAGGAUCUUGGGGACCUAGGGAUGCUGUCUGGACUGCUCUAAAAUAGCCCUUCUGUGGCUUCCUCAAAUGUAUUGUCUGAAUCAGCAGCUUCAAAGUGAUAUCAGGGGGUUUACAGCAUGGAUGUUGGAGCUAUGUAGACUGGAUUCAAAUCCCCAGUUCUACCAAUUCCAGCUCUGUGUGCAGGGCACUAGAACUUGCUGAGUCCUAGCUCCUUUGUAAUAUGAGGUGAUGGUGAAUACGUCAUAGGGUUGUUGCCUGGAUUGAAAGUAGGUAAAGCACCUACUAGUGUGUCUGGCACCUGGGAGGUACUUAAAUGGUAACCCUUAUUACAACAAAACAAUAAAAGGUCCUUCCUUUUAAGCCAGAAAAGUUAUUUGGAAAUGGAACAGUCUUUUAAUGACGGGGCCUUAAAAUCCCAAACCACCAGCCAAAACAAUCAAAAUGGAACCCAGACUGAUAUUUGCUCAAGGGCCCCUGGCUUCUCAAGGGCCUGCUCCUCAGCAGAAUUUGCCUGCACCACCUACUGGUGGUUUCUUAGAACUACACACUCUCUUUCUGGACUGCUCUUUGGUGAGCAGGACACCAGGAGAGGCGGGGAGGAAAGGAAGGUAACUAGUAGUUUUGCAACUGUUUUAAUUACUUCAAAUUGAGAUGUUUGUAAAUAAGAUGUUAGAGUCUGGAGCUUUUGUUCGGUCUUGUGUUUAGCGUAAAUAUAGUUUUAUUGAAACUCGUCACAGAAGUACCCUGCAGUGGAGGGCGCAGGAUUUGGCUGUGACGGAGCAGAGCUAGAGGCCACUUGCAAAUGGCAGCGUUUGGAAGUGCCUGUUCUGGGUAGAGCAUCCAGGCUGCUUUUGAGUGGCUGUUUGUACCUCCCACGAAGCAAGAAAGGUGAAUGUAACCAGCCCACUGGAAUCGGUCCUUUUGCCAUUAACAUCACCUCUGUUUACUACGUGGGAAGAGUGAUUCACAUGCAGGAAGAAGACCUUUUCCAGAAAUCCUCCAUCAGCUAGAAGAAGAGAGAGAUCCUAAUUAGGGAGCCAUGCCACAUUUCAUUCUGAGAUUUUGUUUGGAAGCAUUUUUCCAACUGAGAAGGUAGGAAAGGGUCGUUUAAGUUUCCCAUUGUUCUGUUGGGCUUAAUGACCUGCCCAGGUCUCAGGCUGCUCUGAGCUGAGCUGUCAGUGAGACCAGCAGGAGGACAUCACUAGGAUUGGAAAUAGCGUGGAGUCAAUUGACAGACAUCCAUGAAGCACUACUAAGUGCCAGGCCUUGUGCUGGCUCCCGGGAAGGCAAAGAAACAUAGAACAUGACCUUGGUCCUUAAGAGGUUGAGAGUUUAGUAGACAAGAGAAGCUUGUGCUAAAUCCAUGUACAAUAGUAAGUGAAGCAAGUGAUGAGUCCUAUUGGACAGGUCCAUCCUCUUGUGGAAUAUUGGAGAAGGAAGCAUGCUGUGUUCAGUUAGACACAGUUUCUGACCUCCAAGGUGAAGAUUCAAUUCCAUGCACGUUUAUUGUGUCCCAUUUUGUAUAAACAGAGCAUGUUUGUUGAUAUUCUAAGGUAUUUGGAGAAGGAUACAGUUGAGUACCAUUUUUGAGCCCUUUCACAUUGUGCAGUACAGAGGUCAGGAGCACUGUUUCAGGAAUCAGACAGCCCAUGUUUGAAACCUCCGGGACUUACCACCUGUAUGUCCUUGGUCAAGUUAUCAAACCUCUCUACAGCUUCAUGUAUCCAAUCAACAAACGUUUACUAAAUACUGUACCGGCACUGGCAGGCAGGCUAGACAGAUUGAAGGGAUGUGCAGAGCUUGGUGGAGAGGGUGAGCAGGGCAGAGACUGAGUGUAUCUGAGGAAAGCUGCCUGCUUUAGGUGGCCUGGGGAGCUUCUAGUUCUCAGCCAAUCUCUUCCCUGAAUGGGCAGCCUAUGGGUGAAAGUCCAAGUGGGGAUGUGGCUGUAGUGUCUCUUCCUGCCUUUCUCCCAUGCCCUGCAGCACCAGGCCCACACUGGAGUGCUGGUGGGAGCCUGCAUGCCUGGUUAAAGGGGCGUGCCAGAGAACUUUCCAUAAUUGCUUCCUUUCUUUUUUUUUUUUCUGGUGUAUUUAUGAGUUUUAAAAGCCCCUUGGCAACCCAGGAAAUUCCAUUUCCCUCUGCAGCUCAUUUAUACCUUCCUUGAUAUAUGCCCAGGCACAAACACUUCUGUGUAUUAUUUGGUUGUUCAUGGGGGAUAUUGUAAAAUCUGAGGCCUUAGUGGGUGCACUUCAGGCUUGAGGGCAGGAGAGGGAAAGGAGCAGAAGGCGAGAAGGUAACCUCUGGCAAGGAAACGGUAAUACUUUUAAAUCUCCUCUGAAGACCAAAAGCAAAAGAAAUGGGCUCAACCUGUAGCAUAAGUGUGCUAGAAUAGACACAAGCAAGUUUUUCCUGAUAGAUGUCAAAUGCCUUUUUGCCUGUUCACAAUAAGCUUUUAUACAUAUGGCCAAUUCUCAUCUGACUGGCACAAGACGCAGGGAGUGGAAUAAACUAAAUGUCCAGUGUGCUUAAUUGGUGUUGCUAUAAUUAAUAUUUUUCAGCCGUUUGACUCCAUGAAUGCCUCUAACACCUAGAGCAGGCUUGUCCAUCCCAUGGGCCACUGGCCACACGUGGUCCAGGAUGGCUUUGAAUGUGGCCCAACACAAAUGCAUAAACUUUCUUAAAACAGUAUGAGAUUUUUCUUGCAUUUAUUUUUAGCUCACCAGCUAUCACUAGUGUUAGUGUAUUUUAUGUAUGGCCCAAGACAAUUCUUCUCCUUCCAGUGUGGCCCAGGGAAGCCAAAAGAUUGGGCAUCCCUGGUCUAGAGCCUUCCACAGUUUGACCUUUAGAGUAUCUUGCUUUGGCUUAUUCUCUUUCAUAUGUAUGUACUUCAUUUUCCAAACCAUACUAUAUGCUUAUCAUUUUUAUUUUUAUCCCUACCACGGCCUAAAAUAGUGCCUGAGUAUAGUAGACAAUAAGUGUUUGAUGAGUGACUAAUAGAUAACAGCAGCUUCCAGUGUCUGCCGGUGCUUACACUAUAAUUUAUCAUUUUUUCUUAAGAUGACAGAGAACUCUUGUAAUAACUCUAAUAGCAAGCCUUCUUUUGUGCUAAUAUAUUAAUUGAAUCAUUUAUUAACUUUCUAAUAAUAUGCACCAGCCACUGUCAGGCACUAGUUAUUCAAAGGAAGACGAGACACAACCCUGACCAGACAUGAGGGGUGUUUACCAUCCACAUGGGAGAUGGGCAUAUAAUUUAAAAUGAAAUAUCGAUUGGUAAUAUAUUAAUGAAGAGUAUAUAUUCAUAAUUUAGGACAGAGGAAGUGCUUUUUGCCUGGCCUUAAAGGGGAGAGUUUCGGGGAGGAUGUAUUUGAGCUUCAUCUUAAAGACAAGCAGGAGUCAGUGAGAAGACAAGGCAGUGGUGGUAGGUCCUGGCAGAAGGAAGAGUGUGGCCCAUAGCAUGAGGCACGGGUACGGUUGUGCUUGGGGAGCCCUGAAGAGGCGGCUGCUGAGGAAGGUGGAGCUGGAAACGUAGAUUGGAGUCAAAGCACGAAGGCCUUGAAUACCCUGGGCAGAAGCUGAGCAGGCAGUCAGAAAGGCCCUGAGGAGACUCGGAAGGGUCACCUGGGGCAGUGGAGAGUGAGGGGCGGGGGAGGCUGGCCAGGAACCAUCGCGGUAGGCCUGGUGUGGUGGGGGAAAGAUUCCUUUUGUGCAUGCUGUCGGGAUACAUCAUGGAGCCUGAAGCAUGCCAAGAAACCAAACAAGGGAGCGUGGCCUCAGGCUUGCCGUCCGAGCCAUCCGAGCCAGAGGAACCCAAGUACAGCUGCGGGUGAAAUGGCUUUGUUAGUUAAUAUGUAACGUGUCACCUCAAUAUUGAGCAUCUCUGGCAGCCGCUGGGACUGCGGGCGCGUUGUUGGUCACACUGACCCAGACAAGUAGUCAAGGCAACUUUCACCACAGAUCAAGCAAGAGAGUUGGCAGUAGGUGGGGCAGGGCGGUCUCCAUCUGUGUGCACAUGGUGCUCAGCGAGUCACAUCUGCUCCAGUUGUGUAAUCUCCGUGGUCAGUGAAGCAAUACUGUGCGCACAGUUCUGUGUUGUGCCUCUCCCGGGGAAGGGGUGUAUUUGGCCUGUGCCCCACCCUAGCCUGCCUUCGUCUUCCCUCUUUCACCACGUCUUCUGGGGCUGGCUUGAGUGUGGGAGUCUUUCUGCCAGCUCCCUGCCUACAGCCGCCCACUCACCAGCCCUUCAUGUGUGCCUCUGAGAGUCUUCUUCCUAAACCACCCCCUGCCCUUCAGUCCCCUUUUAAAGAGCUUGGCUUUGUGAAGCCUGGGCAGUGAACAUCCUUAAGCCCUUAGCAGCUUCCGUGAAUCCACUCCUCGUUAUCCUUCAGGAGUCCUCCCAUAUGGUCAAGCAGAUGAAUUCCUUGUUUCUUAUUCAUGUCAUGCCGCUUCUCACCUCUGGUAACCCCAUCUAACAUGCCCCUCCCUCUUUUGUCUUUCAAGGUUUCAUUCAAACCAAACUUCCUUCAUGAAGCCUUCUGCAACCACAUGCCUCUCAGUGAAACGUCCUUCCUUAUUGUGCACGUGACCCCUGUGGCACGUGGCAACUGUGCCUGGAUACCCCAAUUUCUAAGGCAGGGAAUUUUCUUGUACUUCCUUUAGUCCCAGUACCUAGCAGAAUUCUAAAAAACAGCCAUUCAGUGAAUGUGUAUUGAUAUCAAUGAUUCUGGCACAGCUGACGGGGCCAAAUAAAUGCUAAGUGGUAUUAAGAGUGAUAAUGGUUUUUAAGUAAUACCAAUACCUACCAUUUAUUCAUUGCAAUGGGUCAGUCACAGUGCUAGACCCGUUACAACCAUCAUAUGAUUGAAUACAGCAUAACCAACCUGUGUCUUGGCGUUACCUCCAUUUUGCAGAUAAGAAGUGACAUACCUUGACCAAGGUCAUGUGGCUAGUAAGUGGCAAAUGUGGAAGUGGGCCAGUGUUCUGCUUCUCGGCCCACACUCCCAACCUCUCAACAUGUGUCCUCUGCCAUAGCUGCAUCUCCCAGAUGGCAUGGGAUUUUUUCAUUGUUUUGUUUUUGUGACCACGUUGCUUCCUUAUCCCUGUGAUUGGGUUUUGCCCACGUCUCUCAUAUGACAGCAGCCUUGGUAAGAAGCAGGGAGAAUGGAAGGGAUGUCACAUGCCAGAAUGGUCAGAAAAAUGAGGUUGCUCAGCAGGUGUCGUAAGAACGGAUGACUCAUGCCCUGUGCCUUAGAGUAAAGAUGGAGAAAUGCAAAGGGAGUGGGGAGCAGAGAGACGCUGACAGAUGAUGAGUGAGCACAAAUGUUUAUCCAUGCUAAUGGAGUGGGGACGUGAUAGUCACUCUGCUCUAAUGCUUAUGAGGAGCAGUCUGUGGGCUGCAAAUGCAGGAGCACAAGGAAUCUUCACCCUCGUGGCAGGGGAACCUAAAACUCCAGGCUGCAAACAGUGGCUGGAGCAUCUCUGUAACAGUCUGGCCUUGCAGAUCCAAAAGACAGGUCAUAGACAACAAAGACAUCUGAUAUUUCCUGACACUGCCAUCCUCUGGGCUCUGGGGGAGUCCAAGAUCAUUUGCUGCACUGCCCUGGGAGUGGUGACAGGCUGGAGGAAAAUUACUGGGGUCUGAAGGAGUGCAGGCCCAGCUUUCCUCUUGCUUCUAAGGCCAACCCAAACAAAUAAUCGGUGCUGCUUUCAGAAUAUCCUCACAUGGGACCACCACCACCUCCACUAGGCUCUCCGUCCCCAGCCUCCUGCCUUAGGCUUUUCCACCUCACACUGCACUAUCUAAAUUCUCUACCGUAGAGCCAAGGAGAGGAUAAGGGAAAGGGAAGCCAGGGGUUCUAAGGGACCCAGAGUAGUACCAAAUUCCCCCGUUGGUCUGUGGUCCAACAGUACAGAAAUGGAUAGCCGUCUGCAUGGGGUGGAAAUGUCUCUUCUUUGUAAAUGUUCCACUGCCUGACAUUUCACCAUUCUAGCUUUACUUUGCUUCCAUUAUUCCACAGUUUCCAGGGGAAGAGAAAACUUUACCUGGCUAGCACCUUGAUCAGAAUCACUUCAUCACAGAUCAUAUACAUCCACAGAGAUGACUGAGGAAACAGAGAACAGCUUAGAAAGCCAACUCUGUCUUCAUCACCUUUUGGUCUUGGUCCUCCUGCCUUGGGGGUAUAACCCUCUCUUAGUUUGUGGGAGAAAAAUAUCCAUGGUAAGAAGAAAGAUGUCAGGUCCAGGACAGCAAAGAAACUGCUCAGUAAUAGAAGCAACUCCGAUUGUAUGAGCAGGCUUCUCGAGUGCUGUCCUGUCAGCCUACCAUCCACAUUCCUGGUGUCAUCAACUCUCUAGGGACAGGAGCACAGAACACGUGGGAGCCGUCACUGCAGGAGCUGUGUUAGUGACAGCAGCAUUCACCAGAGGCAUUUAAAGGCUGAUUGUUUUAUCCAUAGCAUUGUCAGGGCUUUGAGAGAGAAAUCCUGCCUGCAACAGGAGAAGACUGAAAAAUAGAAAACCAUUGGCAGUAUCAGAGGGUUGUCAUUAGUGGACAAGUACGCUGGCUUGAUUCACUAGUGCUGUUAUUAUGGUUGUUAUUUUAAUUUGUCAAGAGACAAUGGGUUGUUGGAGAACAUGGGCAGUGGCCCUUGCUUCCAAGGAGGAAAGGCAAAGGGAAGAGAGAUGCUAGGGGGUCGUUUCUGUAGAAAGCAGACACCCAGGUGUGUAUUUUCCCCACCACUGCUGAGCCCCACAGCAUGGCUUGUGAAUUUUACAAGUGAUACUGUGACAUCGAAAGCAUUCCAUUGCGUCUUUGUGAGAAUCUAGGGUCCUCUUUUCUGCUUAGUCUAAGUCUCUACAGAUAAAUAUGCAUCUAUAUUAUAUAUGUGUGUGUUUCUCCAUACUCUGUGCAUAUACUUAAGUCUGUAAUGUGCAUAUACGUGUAUCUGUCUGAACAGUUGGAUAUAUAUAGAUGUGUUGCAGCUCUCCAACCUUUACCAAAGAAACAAAAAAAAACCUAAAACCACACACACGUGUGCACAUGCAAAUAAAUAAAUAGAGAAGGAGAAGGAAGAAAAGAAAACAGCCAGAAGGAGGUUGCUUUUUCUGUUUCAGGGGACCUCAGCAGUUCUUCCCAAAAUAGGCUUCUGUCCUUGCUGGGUAACAUCUAAAGGAGACGACAUCACAGAGGGUCCAGGCAAGGGCUGUGGAGUCAGACAGUGGGGUUCAAAUACUCACAUGUGCUGUUGUGACCUUGGUGCGGCAACUCAACUUCUCAAAGCCUCAGUUUCCCCAUCUGAGGAAGAGGGACAGUCCUUCCUGGGAAGAGCACCCUGCCCUCCCUAUGACAAGUGCUCAGCAAUAGUCUCAGCCUUCUUUCACAAGGAACACAAUUGCUCAUCCUAUAGUUACAGCUCAAGUUUACAACGCAAGCAUCUCUCAGGUGACAGGUCUUUUUUUUAAGACAGUUUCUCGCUCUGUUGCCAGGCUGGAGUGCAGUGGCACAAUCUCGGCUCACCGCAACCUCUGCCUCCAGGAUUCAAGCGAUUCUUGUGCCUCAGCCUCCCAAGUAGCUGGGAUUACAGGCACGCACCACCACACUCAGCUAAUUUUUGUAUUUUUAGUAGAGACAGGGUUUUACCAUGUUGGCCAAGAUGGUCUCCAUCUCCUGACCUUGUGAUCUGCCCGCCUCGGCCUCCCAGAGUGCUGGGAUUACAGGCAUGAGCCACCGUGCCUGGCCAGGUGACAGGGUCUUAACAUGGAGGCUUUCAGGACAGAUUUGGUUUAUGUCUGCCCUGGCAUUCAGAAGGUGACAAGUAGAGCCUGGAAGGCUUUCGGACUAACUUCUGUAGACCCGUGCCCUCUAUGGCCGCAGAAUUGGCUUCUUGUUCCAUGUUGCUGCUAGUGCUUUGUGUGGCCCCAGCCAAGUCGGUUCCCAUCUUUGGACCACAGUGGACCCAUCGAGGGGCUCUCUGGAGUCCUCCCAGCCCACCCUUCUGUGCCUGGCCACUCCAGUCUUGCAGGACACUGUGCUGGAAACUGACUUCAAGAGUAACACUGUUGUGGCUCCCACCUCCGGGGACUUCAUAGGUUUGAGUAUGUGUGUGGGAAUGUGGUCUGUUUUAUUUACUCUUGCCAAUGAGGCUGAACGGAGCUAGUGAGGGCAUUAAAGCAUUUUAGUGUUAUUAGUUUUAAAAUUAGCCCGAGCUGUUAAGGAGAGUCCCUGCUCACUUUGCUUAUGUGAGAAAGGGGCUUCUGAACGCCAAGGUUGAAUGCCCGGCGUCUUUCAUCCUAAAAAAGACAACUUUAUGCGCUAUGCAUUAGAAUGACCAGGGAAACUUUAAAUAUAAUGAUAUGGGGUGCCUGGGCCCCACCUCCUCCUUUGCUUCACUGGCCCUCCCUGGACAUCAGGGGGUGUGGUUUUUGCUUUUUUGUUUUUUAAGUUUUCCAAGUGGUUCUCGUGCAGCCAAGGUUGAGGCCCACCGGGCUAAACUAAAAACGUUUUCCGGGGUAUGUGGGAGGCAGGUAGGAGGGAGGGCUGGCGUGCUGCCCAGCUGUGUACCAUUUCCUGCUUGGUAGAUGCUCAGGGAGUGUUUGCCAGAGAGCUCUCAUCGGAUGCUUGGCAUGGCUAGUUCAGAUGCUAUGGACAGAGGGGUACAUGUGGGACCAGUGCUUCUCAGUCCUGAAAUGAUGAUCAGAAUCCCCCCAUGAUCUUUGAGAAAAUACAGAUUCCUAGGCCUCAUCCACAAUGGCCGGAACAGAUCCUCUGAGGGUAGGAAUGAAGAAUCUGUUAUUCCUGUUAUUCUUAGGAAUAGUGAAACUUCCUAGAAGAUGCUUUUGAUUCAGAAACCACCAAAAGGGGAAAACUCGAUCCUCAAUUCCUAGGAGUGAAGAUUUUUCAUUUUGCUUUUGGUCAUCUGAUGGCCCUAGGGUUCACUAGAUAGGCCACUUACUUACCAUGGGACCCGGACAAGGCAUUCAGCCUCUCUAAGCCUCAAUGUCAUCAUUUGUAAAAUGAAAGCCAUAAUGGUUUCUGCUUCCUAAGAGUGUUUCGAGGAUUAAAUGAGGUAAUAUGUGUGUUUGGACAUUGUAGAUACUCAGUGUGUUCACUGCCAUCGUCAUCGUCAGCACUAUCAUUUUGUAACUCAGAAGCUACACACUGUAAGAGCAAUUUCUAAGAUUUAAAAAGUAUGAAGUAAAAAAUUCUGGCUGUGAAGUCUGAGGCAAAUCUAGAGGCUAGUGGGGGUAAAUUGGUUUUAAACUUGUAUCUGAACCAGAAGCUUCUCUGGAGAGAGUUGGAGUAAGAUCACACAGGUAAUCCUCAAGACCUGUUUGUUAAGAGUACAAAGCCAUAAUUAGGAAAACAGUGAGGUCCCGAUUGUCAUCCAGAAUGAAUUAAUUAACAUGCACUUAUGGAGUGCCUCCUGUUUGCUCAGCUUUGUGCUUGGUGGCAUCACAUAUAAAAAGGACCAGGCCGGGCGCGGCGGCUCAUGCCUGUAAUCCCAGCACUUUGGAAGGCUGAUUGCAGGUGGAUCUCUUGAAUCUAGGAGUUUGAGACCAGCCUGGGCAACAUGGUGAAAUCCUGUCUUUACUAAAAAUACAAAAAAAAAAUUAGCUGGGCGUGGUGGCAUGCACCUGUUGUUCUAGCUACUUGGGAGGCUGAGGUGGGAGAAUGACCUGAGCCUGGAAAGUGGAGGCUGCAAUGAGCUGUGAUCGCACCACUGCACUCCAGCCUGGGUGACAGAGUGAGACCUUCUCUAAAAAAAUAAUAAUAAUACAUUAAAAUGACUGGAUUCCUUUCUUUCAGGGAAUUGGCCGUCUGGUCUGGGAAGUACAAUUAGCUCCCUUCGAAGAACAGGAGCAGGAUGAGAGGAUGUGUAAUUAAGUGCUAAAUUGUGUCACUAGGACUCUCCAGGGCUAGAUGAUUCAAGGAUGGCAAUGCAGUGAGCCAUGGAGGUGGCUGGGGGAGCCUGUUGGGAGAGUAGGGAGGGGUCUGGAGCAGGAAACUACAAGCAAAUCCAAAGAGAUAUCCAAGGAGGGUCCUGGGACAAGAGUGACGGCUGAGAUGGGGAUGACGAGCAGCUGCCCUGUCUGGAUGGAAGGUGAGGGUCCCUGUCGUCCUGGAGCUGCACAGCCACUUAUAACUGGGGUCAUCUGGGUCUGUGGCCCCCUGACAGCUGGUGGUAGUCUGCAGGCAUACACUCCGUGUCCUGUCGUGAGCCGGUCCUCAGGGCGGCAUCUGCCCAGGAAGCCACAGGCACACUUAGCACGGCCCAAGAGCACUAUCUGCAGGAGGCGCUUGGCCCCAGGGCUGAGCUGAUGGUGGUUGGGUGGGGUGUGGGCGACAGGAGAGCAGGUGGCCUCCUUCCUCUGUGCCAUCGCUUAGGGGGUAUCGGUAGAACCCGCUGUGCCGGAAGUCAACUCCGUAUCUGUGGGUCUUAAAGACCUUCUGAUCCUGUAAAAUGGCAUUUACAAGAAUGAUUAGACCUUAAAUUCUGUGAUCAGGCAAAAGGUCUUAAUUUGGGGCCAGCAGUUAGCACAGAGGCAGGGCAGAAUUUCGCACAGAAGGUACCUGAUCCGUGAUUUGCCCCAGAGGUGAAAAUGAGCAAGGUUCUGUUAGUUAAAUGAGCAUAAGAAAUGCAGCAGCCUCAUCCGCACCCCCGCCACCCCACCAGAGAGUCACAAAGAUGCUCAUUGGCAUUUGAAAGGCUCAGAGAAGUCCUGCAGAAGAAGUCCUCUUUAGAGCCCUAUGUGGCCUGCAAACUGUCUUGACCACAGUACCCUUCUCACAUAGUCCCUGUGAAUGUUCUGGGCGACCUGUGACCCAGCCUGAUCUCCUUUGGAAAAAACCGGAGUGAUGAGGUCCUGCCAGACUGAGCCUGAAGGAGCCUUCCAUCUGCCUGUUCAUUUUCCAAGCCCCAGACUCUGAAAGGAGAUUCCCAAGUUCCCCAGCCUGGCCCUGCAGUGGUGGGGAGCCUCAGAUCCCAGGUCUGGUUUAAUGUUUCUUAGUUGUUAACCAGCUGGAAUUAAGGCUGAGAGGAGACUCGUGGGCAGGCUUUGCAAUUGAAUGAACUAUCAGUGUGGUUGCGAGGCUAUUUUGAAGACAUUUUAGAUUGUUUCUGGUUCAGUAAUCUUACAAAAAGGAGUAUGAUCCAACUGAUUUAUUAGGAAAAAAUUUGUAAACUUUGGUUCACUUACAAGAAAGAAGUGUUUGGGUUUUUGAAAAAGAUACUGCCUUUGAGGCUGGCUGAUUUUCGUGACUGACUAGUGUUUAUGAACUGAAAUCUGGCUGCCUCUGCCACUCAGUGAGACUCGCACAGUGAAUUCCUAGCCUGAGGCCUCAUUUGUAGCUAUUAACCCAUUCGCCAUUCUCUCCCACUGCUGGGACUUUCGGAUGGAGGAUGCCUGGCCUGUGUCUUGGCAGGAGCAGAGGCUGACGUCAGGAACAUAAGGUCAUGCCAUAAUUGCUGCGCCCCCUGCCACCCCCGCCGCCUCUGCUUGCUAGUGCCAGGCUGCCCAAGUGCUGGGAAUGCCAAGGUCACUCUUCCAAAGGAGGCAGGAGGCAGCCGUAGCGUCAGUCCCUUGCCUCUUCCAUACUCCCCAUCUUCUUCCAAAGGCACCAAUUCUUGGAAGUUCCUCCCUUUGUGGCUCUGGCCUCUGGGAUGCCUGGGGACAUUUCCACUUUGCCGGGAGGGGAGCGUCCUCCCGGCCCCUUGGAUGCUCCACCAGUGAGCCAGGGCUUGGGAUGGGUAGCGUGCCAGCAGGGAGUGGCCACUUACCUUUGCUCCUGUAUGUGCCCUGUCCUUAGAGGGGUUUAAAUACAUCAAUAGCUUAUUCGCCAAAAUGUAUCCAGAACUAUUUUUAGUGCUUUGAACAUGUUGACUCUUACAUAACAUUCAUUCAGUAUAUAUAAACUAUUCAGUAAAUAUUCCCUCAUGAGAAGAAUGGUAUUUUGGUCUAUUUUGUCUCUCUGCCCUCUGUGUUCUAAUUUGGGACCAGGGAGCCUCUCGGCUCCAUCCUGGGGUUGGCCGCUCCCAGACCUCACUCCCGCUUUGGCUGGGCUUGCUGCCUUGGCCAUGGCGAGGGGCUCUUGCGGCCCCGGGAGGGGGGCUUGGUAAAUGCAGAGCCUGCAUCACAGCAACAAGUGGGGAGCCGAAGAGCAGGGCGCAGAGCUCCUUCUCCCAGGACGGAGGCGGGAAACCGGCCGUGGGAGCUUCCCUGGUUGGGACCAUGUUCCCAGUCCAGAGGGAUGUGGUUGCAUGCUGGAGCCGCUAGUAUGGACUCGUGAAUGUGGCUUCCGGUCACAAAAGUGCCUUCCAGGUGGGAAAAUGAGUGAAGAAACCUGGAUUCAUUUGCUGAGGUGCUGUGGCAGAGCACUGCAGACUGCGUGGCUCGCACAAGAGAAACAGGUUUCUUCUCAGGCGGGAGGCUGGAGGCUGGAGAUCUGAGAUCAAGGUGGUGCAGGGUUGCCUUCUCCUGAGGCCUCUCUCCCUGGCUUCUCCAUGGGUCCUCACAUGGUAUCCCUCUGUGUGUCCGUGUUCACACUUCCCCUUUCUACAAAGACACCAUUCAUGUUGGAUAGGACCUGCCCUCGUGCCCUCAUUUUAACUUAACAACCUCUUUUAAAACCCUACCCCUAGGCCAGUGCAGUGGCUCACGCCCGUAACCCCAGCACUUUUGGAGGUUGAGUUAGGAGGAUCACUUGAGACCAGGAGUUCGCGGCCAGCCCGGGUAACAUAGGGAGACCCUGUCUGUACAAAAAAAACAAACAAAAUAGUAUGCUACCUCUAAAUACCAUCACACAUUCUGAGGUGCUAGGGGUGAGGGCUUUCGCACAUGAGCUUUGGUGGGGACACAUUCAGCCCAUAGCUGAAUGUCCAUGCUUCUGUCUAACGGGCAAGGCUGCUCUGCAAGGCUGUGCGGAGCGGGCGCCAGGCGGAACUCCAGGGGAGGCACCUCAGUCUGAUGUCCAAGGACGCCCCCUGUGGACGGGCCUGGCCCAGAAAACCUGCGUGUUUCCCACAGGUUUGGGGAGAUGAGUUGCUCUGGGGUAGAGACAGGUCUUGUUUGACUUUUCACCCCAGUUCGUAUCUGCACAUGGUGAGCGCUGGCUCGGCGUCUGGUGUGGAGUGGUGGAGAGAGAUUGUGGAGGCACUUCUUGCAGAUGGCCCCUGCCUCUUUCCUGGUGAGAGGUGGGCUUUUCUUAAGAAAGCUGCAACAUGUGCCCCAGGAGAUACUUGGGCUCCCUCGCCCGGGGUGCACAGGAUGGAGCAGGGAGCGUUUGCUGCGUCUUCUGUCAGAUCUCUGAGGGAUGUCCCUCAGGGGCUGUGAACUCUGGUGGAAAGUGGAAAAGUCCCAGGGUGGAUUCCAGCGGGCUGCCAGCCGGGUGUGUGUGUGAGGCGAGGUGGAGGGCUUGAGGAGGUGCACAGCCCCAGAAGAAAGCUGGAGGGCGGUCCAGCCUAGGCACGCUUUGGGCUUGCAGAUCCUUUCCUUCCUUCAGGGUCAGGCUUCACCAAGCAAGCCGAGGGUCCCUCUCACAGCAGCAACAGCAGCAACACAAAUGGCACUGAUAUCCAACCUGGCACCGAGGAAGAUCCCCUACCACCAGCUUGUUCUGAGAGCGUGAAAUCACCUCCAUCCUGACACGUUUGUCCCCCUGUGCUUUUGCUGUUCCACCUCCCGAGCAGGGCUGGAUUAACUGGAUAAAGCUGGAAGAGUAAGUGCCAGCUCCAUGACCUGGCCCCAGGGCAGGCAGCCCCUGCCUCCUCCUCUCUGUAAAGGCACAGAGAGCGGGUUGCUCCACGGGCCACAAAGCACAUUCCCAGGAGGCUCUGGGCACAUCCAGGCCUCCUUGAGGGCCAGCCCUCUGCACAACCCAGGUAGAUCCCUUCCUGCUAGGACAGCCAGUUGUUUCUAAAUUUAAAAAAUGCUCCUUGCAUCCAAAUGCAAGAGCUAAGGUGAGGUUUGCUGGGCAUCAACACCUGGGCACAAAGAACGGGUCUCAGGCAGGGCAGGCAGGGUGAGCAGAGGGUUUGGGUGAGAAAAGCAGCCGUGCCCGGGGGCUUUAUGUUUUUACAGAGCUUUCAUUUCUAAUGUGACGUUAAAUUCUUCCCUAGUUGAACACGGCUCUUGGUGGCUGGCUAGCAGCUGUGUGAGGAUGUUUGCAGGAUGAUAACUGCCUCAGCAUCCGUGCCAUCCUGAGCUGCUGGGAGGACUGCUGAGCAGAGACUCCUUGGCAGGGGCUCUGGGAGGCAUCUGAACAUCUAUCUUCCCUGAUCUCCUGUCCUGCACACAGAUGCACACACUGCAGGGCUAUUUCUUUAUUCAGUUUGCUUUUGCUCUUGCCCCCUAGCCCUCCCUGUGCCCAGUACCUGGGUCUAGGAACAUAGAAUUUAAAAGCUGGGGCAGAUUCUGAGAGCUCUUAUUUCAAUCUCAUCACUUUACUUGGGAGGAAGCUGAGGCCCAGAGAUGUUGAGACAUGUUCUUAGGACAAAGCAAAGUUUAUGGUGCAGCCUCAGGUGGAGCCCAGGUCCCCUGGCUCCCAGCCUGGUGCUCCUUCCCCUGGAUGACAGCAUAUCUGUCCUUCUGUUGAUUUGUCCUACCUGGGGUGUUUUCCCCAUCCUCAUGUCCUUCUUCAGCUGGACAUAUUUGUAGAGGUCCAGACACAACUCAGGCUGCGUCAUUUCUUCCCCACCCCUCAAAAAAACCCCUCAAGGCAGAUGCAGAGGGUAUGCCUGUAGUCCCAGCUCUUUGGGAGGCUGAGGUGGGAGGAUCACUUGAGAACAGGAAUUAGAGACCAGCCUAGGCAACAUAGUGAGACCCCAUUUCUUAAAAAAUUUAAAAAUAAGCUGGCCAUGGUGGUGCAUGCCUAUAAUCCCAGCUACUCAGAAGGCUGAGGCUGGAGGAUCACUUGAACCUAGAAAGUGGAGGCUGCAGUGAGCUGUGAUUGCACCACUGCAUGCCAGCCUGGGUGACACAGCAAGACUUUGUCUCUUAAAAACAAAACCCAGAUUACUAGUGAGGCCAAAUUGUGAUAUAAGGUUUGUAAUAGAGACACUUUUUUAAGGCUGACCAUGUGCCAGGCCCUAUUUAAAUAUAUUACUCAUAUUAGCUCAUGUAAUCCUCAUAUCGACCUUCUCCAUUUUACAGUUGAAGAAACGAAGGCACCAAGAGGUAAGGAACUUGCCAGAAGUUAUGCAGCUGAGGGUAGUAGAGCCAGGAUUUGAGCCCAGGCAGCCUCACUGCAGUCCUUGAGUUCCUAACCUCAGAUGCCUCUCCUCUGAGGGGAGCCCUGCUGUGCUGCUCAUCCUGUUGAGUGACAGCCUGCUAGGAUGUGAAGGGGACGUUGGAUACUUCCGGAAGCUGUGAUUUGGCUGUGCAGAUGGUUGUUUCUCAGGCUCUGGUCCAUGGUGGGAAGCAGUGAGUGAGCAGAUCAGCCCACCUUCAGCCUGUGCGCUCUGCCGUCUGACACCCUCCACCCUCAGGGCCUGAUCACAGGCCAGCAGGCAGCUGGUGGCCCUCUUGGGUCCUCUGUCUUCUCCUGAGAUCUCUCAGAGACAGCAGAGAAACAAGAGACCCUGGAAAUGCCUCAUAGCUAGUUUGAAUCCUAGCACUUACACAGUCAUAAAGUUAAGUCCUUGUGGUCUUUUAUCCUGUAGAAUAGAAAAUUAAAGGGAAAAGGUCCUAAAAAGAAUUCCUCCUCUGCCUGUCCCAUCUUGCCCAAAUCCUCAAAAUGUCAAUCUUUCCCCAAACUCUGCACACUCUUCAAGCACUUCAGAAACUAAUACUUUGGUAUAUCCCAAAUUGACUUUCAGAGAACAUUGGAUAAAAUUUUCUUGUAAAAAGUGUAUGUUAGUCAAAAGAAGUUUGAGACACACUGGCUUAAAGUCAUGCUAAACAAGUUGAUGUGCCACAGGAUUUCUCAGGACCUUUGAUAUGCAAAUGUCCUUGGGAGGCAGAGCUAAUCCGCAGUUUGGUAGAAGCUGAGCCCCUUCCCCUCCAUCUCACAUACAAAUUAGGAAGUGUUUUCAAGGCCUGUUCGCACUGCCAGUGGCUGUCAUAGCAAACUAGUAGCGUCCAUUGGCUGUCAGGAAUUAUGCUGUUGGCACUUCCCCAGCCCCGUGACUAGCCUUAGAGGAAAUCAGGACCCCGCUCACCAAAACCAGAGCCCACUCUUAGCCACCUGCCAUGGUCUCAGCUGAAGCCAUGAGACACCCCUGCCAGCCAGUUCUUCACACCUCUUCUUGGGCCUGCUGUUGACUUCCCUCCUGUCAGCUCCUGGGUUGUACCCUUGGGAUGUGCAAAGCUGCAAAUCUGACCUGGACGUUAGGUCAUUGGCCCAGAGGACUCAGAGUUGUGUUCUUUGGUCCUCUGGGAUCCAGUAGGGCUUCCUGCUUCACUUUCAUCUGCUUCCUAUACCCAGGGUCUGAGAAAAGUUUCUUUGGCAAAAGCAUUUCAUUGCCAAAAAGAAAAUCUGAAAGCUGCUGAUGUAGUUUAACCUCCUUUAUUUAACAGUUGAGGCAAAUUAAGGCUCCAAGAUGCUGAGACCUGUGCAGGAUCACACAGCUCCUUGGAAGCAGCUGAGCCAGGACUAGCACCCACCUCCCUGCUUCCCAGUACUCAUGGUCUUUCGGCUGCAUAGCUCUACUUCUCUGCAAAGGGUGCUGGGGCCGAGAUUCAUGGCCUUUAACUAUGGUUCUUAAAUGUUACUGUGCCGCAGACCCACCCAGGGCACUUUGUAAAAAUUACAGAAUCAUCCAUCUUGAAGGGCCAGGGUCUUGGGAAAGUUGCUUCAUCUUUUGAGGCUCUAGAUGGAGUGUUCUUUCUGCGCUGCUGAACCUGGAGCACUGAGAAGCUUUUCCUGCUCUCGGGUGCAUUUGAAUUUGCAUGGUCUGUUUUACAGGGCAGGAGGUGCAAAUUCCUAUUGCUUAAGCCCACUUACAUAACAAACUGGCCACACCUUCAAUUCCAAAAGGCAAUGCGGCUGCCCACUAUUGCAGACUCUGAAAAGUAAGGUAGAAACAAACUCUGGGAACCACAGAGGCUACUCUUCAUGGACUUAUUUAAAAGGAAGACCUCUGGCUCUAUCCCCAGAGAUUAUGAUUUAGGAGGUCUGGGGUGGAAGACAAGAAUCUGCAUUUUAACCAGCACACCCUCUUCCCACUUCCACCCAUGUGGUUUUGAUGCAGUUCAUCCUUGGACUACACUUGGAGAAAUGCUGACUUACAUAGUAAAGAACCAAAACUGUGUAAUUAUAGGAAUCACUCAAACACCCACAUGCUAGGAUAUGAGGCUAGAAAUUCAGGUUUAUGAUUGUCCAAGUGGGUUAGAGAAAGAAGCAAGGCAUCUUGAUUUUUAAUGUGGAUAACAUGUAGCACAAUGAUAUCAUCCUGAUAAUCUUUUUUUAAUUUUUUUUUGUUAUUGAGAUGUAUGAAUAUAUUAUAUAUUUUGGAUAUUAACCCCUUAUCAGAUAUAUGGCUUGCAAAUAUUUUCUUACAUUUAAAUCUUUAAUCCAUUUUGAGUUAAUUUUUGUUUAUGGUGUGAGAUAAGGGUUCAACAGCCAGUUUUCUCAGCACCAUUUAUUGAUGAGACUAUCCUUUCUCCAUUGUGUAUUCUUAGCACCCUUGUCAAAGAUUAGUUAACCAUAUAUACAUGGGUUUAUUUCUAUGGUCUCUAUUCUGUCAUUGGUCUAUGUGUCUUGUUUUUGUGCCAGUACCAUACCAUUUUGAUUACUAUAGCUUUGUAGUACAGUCUGAAAUCAGGAAGUGUGAUGCCUCCAGCUUCGUUCUUCUUUCUCAAGAGUGCUUUGGCUAUUCAGGCAAAUAACCAGAUGGAAAAAUGGGCAAAGGACCUGAAAAGACAUUUUUCUAAAGAAGACAUGCAAAUGCCCAACAGGCAUAUUGAAGGUACUCAACCUUACUGAUCACCGGGGAAAUGCAAAUCAAAACCCCACACCUGUCAGAAUGGCUAUCAAAAAGACAAGCAAUGACAAGUAUUGAUGAGGAUAUGAAAACAAGGGAAUCCUGCAGGGUACACUGCCAGUGGGAAUGAAAAUUGGUACAGCCAUUAUGGAAAACAAUAUGGAGGCUCCUCAAAAAAAUGAAAAUAGAACUACCAUAUGAUCCAGAAAUUCCACUUCUGGGUAUAUAUCUAAAGGAAAUGAAAUCUGUAUUUCUAAGAGAUAUUUGCACUCCCAUGUUCAUUGCAGCAUUAUUCACAAUAGCCAAGAUAUUGAAACAACCUAAGUGUUAGUUGGCAGAUGAAUAAAGAAAAUGUGAUUUUCUAUAUAUAAUGGAAUAUUAUUCAGUCUUAAAAAACAAGGAAAUCCUGCCCUUUGCAACAGUGUGGAUGAACCCAGAGGACACUAUGCUAAGUGAAAUAAACCAGACACAGAGGGAUAAACACUGUGUGAUCUCAAUUGUAUGUGGAAUCUAAAAGAGCCCAACUCAUAGAAGCAGAGAGUAGAACAUGUGUUGCCAGGGCUAAAGGGGCUUGGGGGAAGGGGUAAUGGGAGAUGGGGAAGGGUUAUAAACUUGGCAAUCUAAUGUACAGCAUGGUGACUAAUUAAAAAUACUAUGCUGUAUAUUUGAAAUUUGCUAAGAGAGUAGAUCUUAAGGCCUAUGACACCACACACACACACACAUACACACACACACACACACACACACACACACACAGAGGGAACUGUGUUAUUCAGCUCUAUUGUGGCAAUCAUUUCACAGUGUAUACAUAUAUCAAAUCAUCAUGUUGUACACCUUAAAUAUAUACAAUUUUUUAAUUUGUCAGUUAUACCUCAAUAAAGCUGGGUAAAACUGUAAACUGGAGCUAUAUUUAAACUACAAAACUGUAAAAAUAUAAAUAAAAGUAAAUAAGAAGAAAGUAUUAAGCAUCGCCUUGCAGGGGGCAUUGUGAGUACUGUACUGUAUGCCUGCAGCAAUCUGCACAGAUAUGGCCCCUGCCUUCUGGCGACUUACAGUCCAGGAGGGAAGGAAUGAGGAAGUGGAGCAGCGAAACACCAAGUAGCAAAUGCUGUGGAGGAGACAGCUGGAUCAUAGUCAGCCAGGGAACUGCAUGAGUUUCCGAGGUUUCUUAAAGGUCUGUAUGGUAUCUCUCACCCUCUAGCAUUUUCAGCAGGGAGCAGUCUGGGAACACCCUAGUACUACCUGUAGUCAGAGACCUGGUGGCCUGGAAGUCUAUGAGAUCUAUGUUUAAAUCUUUCUGUCUGGUCCGCAGAGCUGCUCAGCUCACUGGUUGGCUACGAUGUGGAACACUUGCCAUACAAAGCCCUCUGCGAUGAUUAGCUCAUUUAACCCUUUAACAACCCCAUCAGAUAAGUAGUAUUGUUACACACAAGGAAACUGAGGUGCUCAGAGAGGCUACAUAACUGAACCCAAGUCAGGGACCCCAACUCAGGUUUGUUUGACUCCAGGGCCUACAUUCUAUUCCCUUCAGUUCCCUCAACAGGAAAGAUGGGGCAACAUCCUGUCCUGUCCUCUGCCUCCCAGUUAAAAAAAAAAAAAAAUAUAUAUAUAUAUAUAUAUGAAUAAAGACUUCUUGAUGUGUAUCACCAACAUAUAUAACUUGGUUUUGAAUGUGGGGGAGGCAAAAUGACAUUGACAGAUAAUAGGACUUACAUGAAAUUCUGGUUUGUUUAGAGAUGCUAUAAACAGCUUGGCAUUGUCGACUCAUUUGGAAAUUCGACUUCCAAAGGAGCAAAUGCAAAGUAUUUCUCAAGCCCCAGCCCUCUAUUUUUAGAUCUGAAGAGGGAAACAACAAGGUAGGUAACUGAAAGUCUGGAGUUGUUUCUAUUUAGUUGUUCCUAAAGGCAGGGGGAUGGGCUAGAGGAAACCUGCAAGGGCUUUCGACUCACAGGGUUCUUUCAUUCUGUGGGCUCCAGUUCUCUGGGCAUGAGAGAUGCCAAGGAGCUGGUGUGUUUUGGAGAGCUCAUGCUCUGAAGCACAUCAGAAGAACCAAUGGUUGCCGCAAGACCCCCUUCCUAAUGCAGAUGGAGUUUUCUGUGAAUCCCGGAAGGUGCACUUGGGUGGGAGGGAGUUGAGGGGUAGAAAAAGGAAGACAACCCCCACGUUCAGCAGAACCCAGGGCUGAUGUCUGCAACAGCAUAAAGUGCCUUCUAGAGUCUAAUCCUGGUCAUCCGUGUAGCAUCUCUUCUUCUCUAAACCCUCAUCCUAGGCUUUCUUUCACGCUUAUGGCCACACACAGUGAGGCUUUCCUCUCUGCCCAGAAUCCACAGGGCAUCACCCUUCCUCUGGAGCCAGCUUGGGGCUUUCCUGACGUCAGUAGUUUUGGGGGAAGCCAGUGUCACCUCAUCUCCGUCUUGAAGCAUAUUUAACUUUCCCAAAUAGCAAACUCUGGCUCUUUGAGCAAAUGACUUCCAGAUGCUGGAAGCAGCGGCUAGUGGAAUUUUAUUGCCCCCAAACUGUGGUUCUGGGCUGCAUACUUCUGACAUGAAGGUAAUUUGGAAUGUAAACAUUGCAAGACGUGUGCUGGAAUUAAUUAAAGCAACCCUGUAUUCUCUAAGGCCUACAAGCCUGCAAUUAACUGUUUACAUUAACACCAAGCCAAGCAGAUCAACCAGAGGAUGCAGGGACCCUUGAUUUUCACUUUCUCCCUUUACCUUCAGAAAACAGUGAAACGGGAACCAAGCUGACCCAUUUCCACAGUCCCAACCUGAGAAGAGGCUGCUUAAGCCAUCCUCUCUCGCACAGCAAACAGGCGACAGUGUGAGAAGCCUAACUGGGCAUCACGGGGAACCAAGGGCAGGCAGGAACCUCUUCCGCGAUAUGUCAGACGUCAGAGGCUUCUUUAGCCAGAAAUACAAGUGUGCCUUUAAACACGAAUGGCCACAUUCAUGGUGGGCCUGCAGAGAAAACCGUGGCAUCUCAUACUUGCCUGAUAAAACUAGAAACAGCUUUGAGAAUAAUUUUGUAACUUCAUCAUGGCAUUUAAAAGUAGCAUGAAAGUUUUGGAGCAGGAUGGUGAUGGUGAUUGCAUAAUAACAUGAAUAUACUUAAUGCCACCGAACUGUAAACUUAAAAAUGGUUAACAUAGUAAAUUUUGUGUUAUGUAUAUUUUAUCCCCCAAAUAAAAGAGCAGGGUGUUCAGACUAUAAAGGCUCUUUGGGAUUAUGUAAACUGGGAGAACCCCUAGAAUAGUCCUCAUUUAUUUCCCCCAUGUAAUAUAAGAGGGUGAAGUUCUGGCUUCCUGGGAACAGGCCCACACAAUGUCAGGAUAUUUCAGGGGCAUUUACGUAAAACACCAGAAACCCAUGCCCCUGGAGCUGACCAAUCCUUCACACCCGCUCCGAGUUUGUUAGAGGGGUGACUCUUUUGGCAGGGAGCACUGAGAAAUGCUGAUAUGUGGUUGCCUUCACUAUUGGCUGUAACUAUGAAAAGAGUUGCUGGAGGCUACCUACUUACCCUCUCUCCCCCAAAGGAGAAAGACUUCAGUAUCCUGCAGUGUGGCCGUGGGGCAGGUGUGCGGGUGUGCACACGCGAGCUGUUCUGUUGUUGAGACUCUAGUUGUUGCCGGUUCCUCCCUCUUUAUAUGAAGCAAGGCAACACCCGCAACAAAGCACUGUAAUCUCUCCAUUGACCAUCCUUCUGCCCUCAGAUCAACACAAGGGCCAAUUCCAUUCCAACAGCAUUAUACGUCUUUGAAAAUGCUCUUUGUGUCCCGCCAGAACCUCCUCCUCUUCUCUUCAGUUUCUUCCUCAUAUGACACAGCUUCCAGACCCUAACCACCCUGCGUGUCUGCUUUGGGUGUACAGUAGUUUUUCAGGAUAAUGCCCAGAACUAAACCCAAUACUAAUAGUGGUCUGCUCAGAGAGGGGUAUGGGAAUUUUAUCAUCUGUUCUGUUUUGACUUCCAUGUGUCCAACAUUAUCCCCCAAUGUUGCAUUUCAACCGUCAUACCAUCCUUUCCUUAAAAAAGCUUGUGAUCAUCUGAAGCCUCAGGGAUUUUUUUUUUUUUUUUUUUUUUACAUGAAUGACUGUUGAGCAAGGGCUCCCCGGUCCUGAAAUUAGGUAAAUUUAUUUAACUUAAACUCAGAAAUUUACUAGAAAUCUUAUUCAUUAUGUUAAAAUCAGGGCCUUUGAUAUCCAGAUACUGAGUCCUGACUCCCUCACCCACUGUCCUUCCCUAGCUUUGGGUGUGUCUAUGUCUUCAUCUGAGUUAGAAUUCUAUAUAGCAGAACUUGAUUGAAAUGCUGUACAGAAUUGGCCUGGGAGUACAGAGACCACCUUUUCAGUUUAUAUCAGUCAGAGUCAUGUGGGUGUGGUAAGGCCUGAGUCCACCCAGCCACCACCAUCCAGCUUGGGCUUCUCCACUUUGCUCCCAAGGAUUGAUGGAGAGUGUGCGAGGACUGGUUAAAGAGAUGUAUGCUGUGAUAGACAGGGCAGGCUAGCAGGGGGAUGUGGUGCCUGGCAUGUGGCAGGCAUCCACUACAUUCUGCGGGCUGAGAUGGUCAAGGUCAUCCCUAGCCUCCUUGCAGGUGAUCAUUCAGACUUAACUUCCUCCCCACCCAAAAAGUUGCCUCAAAACUGCUCACAAAGUGGGGGCUUUGAGUUUAAUUUCUCCUGGAGCCCUCUGGUAGGACACGAAUCCGCAGGAAACUGGCUUGCAGGUCUUUGGAAAGAGAAGUAGCCUAAGAUGAAGGGCCUAGAAAAUCCCCCAGAAAAAAAGAGCAUUCCUAUAAUCAGUGAGGAUAAACUAAAUGACAGUUUGGGACAACAUUUGGUUUCCUUGGUUCAUUUAAAACAUUGAUUCAGAGAUUGGGGACUGGCUUUUCCUGACUUAAAAGCAGUGGAGCCCUUUCCCUCUAAUGUGGACACACGCUGGUUCCCUCCCUGCCUUAGGGAAGGAGUUGGUCAGGUUGGAGCUAAGAGGGCCUGGGAGGGUCUUUCUUGGUGAAGCAGCAUUAGCCAUUGGUUGAGACUGAGGCAGACAGGGUUUUAGCUGAAAAGGCUUUUAUCGCUUUUUAUCUAUUGACACUUUUUCAAUUAAGGAGUCUCCCCUGAGAUGAUCUAUCGCCUCCCUGUCUGAGCAGGAAAUAAUUACCAGCAAAGCAGCUCCAUCACCUGCCACAUGUUUUCCCAUGGCCAGGGAGGCUCAGGAAAAUAUCAACAGCCUGCCUGCUGCUGGCGGUGCCUAUGUGGGCACAGGGCACGCGGGCUUUCCAGAUGGCCCACCCUUUCCUCUGUCUUAUCCUCCCCCCACUUCUUAUUCCCUUUGACCAAGGUUUUUAUAUUGUACCCUGUCACCAUCGGGGAAUCUAGCCACGUCACCUUCUCUCCUGGCACCUGCUCUUCUGAGGAGCUUGCAGCCUUCUAGGCUGGGUCCAUGCCUCCUCUUGUUCCAGGGCCCCCUAUACUGCUCAUAUAUUCAGAUGCCCAGGGACAUAUUCCAGCGGAGGCUACCCAGGAUAACAUUUCUAUCUCACUGAGGUUUUUCUGCAGCCUUCAAAAUUCCAUGAUCUGAUAUUUUAAAGUAAAAGCUUUAAAUAUAAAUGUCAUUGAGGUGCAGCACACAGACGGCAAAAUGCAAACAUUGUGAGUGCACAGCGUGAAUUCUCACCUCGUGCACACGGCUGUGUCGCCAGCACCCGGGUCAAGACACAGAACGUUACUCACACGUCUCGUGCCCCAACUAGUCACUGCCUCCCUUCCCCAGGAACCACUGCCCUGACUCCUAAAUGGCAUAGAUCCAUUUCCCCUCUUGUUGUACUUCAUAUAAACUCAUGAAGUCUAUAUUUUUGUCUAGAUUUCUUGACUCAGAAUCAUGUUCAUGAGAUUCAUCCAUGCCUGUAGUUUUAAAGUUGUUCAUGUUCAUCGGUGUAUAGUGUUCCAUUGUUCGUGUUCAUUGGUGUAUAGUGUUCCAUUGUACAAGUGUGCCACGGUGUUUCUACCCAUUCUGUCAUUGAUGGAUAUUUUCUGUCUUUUUUUAAUGGAGAGCAUAUGCAUGUACUUUAAUUACCUGUAAUGCCUAGGAGUAGAAUUGCUGGGUUGUAGGGUGUGUGCCUAUGUUUAGCUCAAUUAUUGCCAGUUUUACAAAGUGGUUGUGCAACUGAGAAGUUUUUUCAAUGUAGAAAAUGUGAGAACAUUUAUCUCCUCAGCCCCCGCCGACUUGCCUUUAUGAAAGAAAACACAGAGGUGGGGACUUGUGCAAGGUGAGGACUGCUAUUUCUUGAUUCCUGGCCUAGUUACCUUUCCAUUAGCCUGCAAGGAACCUCUCUUUUGACGGACAUGAGAGAAAAGGACGCAUCCUCCUCUCUCCCGGGUCACACUUUCCCCCAACCCAUUCUAUAGCUCAUAUAAUUUUCCACAAAGUGCCUUAUUUGAACUUCAAAUCUUCAAGGCCAGGUGAGCACCACAGACGUGGCCUUUUCUUGUUUAUCCAGAGGGUUUGGGGAAGCACAGCUCCCUGACAUUCAUUGAUGGAUAUCAUCUGCAACCGUCUGCUUUCCUUUUGUGCCAAUAACCUGGGAACGAGAGAAAGAUGAGUGUUUGCUUGAGAUUGAAUUUAUGACAACACGGAACCAGCCUCCAUCAGCUAGACUGAUGAAUGCCUGGGUGAACAUGCCACAGUUUGUGUUUUUUCCCCUCCUAGUCACCACCUUUCUUGAUUAGGAAGCUGUGUUGUCAGUGUGCUGACUUAUUAGGGAGAAGAAUGGGCUCUAGCAGGCCUUUAACCAUCACAGUUCUCAUUCAGGAAAGAAACGAAGGCAGGUGUUGUACGCCCCGUGCCUCCCACAGAGUCCCGCAAGCUGUGAGUGUCCUCAAACCAUCCAUCCAUCCUCCCUUGAAGGGCUUGGGGGAAGGGGUGUAAAAGGGAAGAAAAAAAUCUAUGAAUUGUACACACAUUAAGUUCUAGGCAUUAUUUUAGGUGCGUGUGUACAAUUUCCUGAGCAAAUGAAUGAAUGAAUGAUUAGUUUUAAAAUACAAUUAAGAGUUUUGCUGGCUUCCCCAGAACAGAAAUUUUCUGAGAUUUUUCCUAGAUCACUUUUAGCAGUAAGAGUGCCCUAAGAAUAAUGGCUUUUUCGUCAAAGUCUCUUAAUGUCACUGAAGCUUGGGAACAUGUUCUCAUCGGGCAAGAGAACAACAACAGAAAGGAACUGCAUUCCAGUUCCUUGUGUACAAAGGUGCUCCUGACCUCUUUGGCCCCAACUCUAGGGGUAAGAAUAACCAUAAGUUAUUGCCAGAGGGCAGCACCUUCAUGGACAGAGAGCAGGUGUUUGAGGGUCCCAUGCUCCACCCAGGAAGCUGCUGGCUCCACUAAGAGAAUGGGCUCUGGGCCUGUUCAGUUUCUACCAAUGUGGGGCAGGCCCCCAAAGCUGAACAUAGAUGGAGACACAGAAGGGCAGAACAGUUAAAAAUUUAAUUCCACCUUUGCCAUCUCUUAUCUGUAUGGUCUUGAGAAAGUGCCUGUGUUUCUGUGAGACCUUGGUUUCCACAUCUGUAAAAUGGGGAGAAACAUACCUACCUUAUUGGGUUGUUAUGAGGAUUAAAUCAGUCAGUGUAUGUAAUGUGCAGGGCAUGUGGUAAACGUUCAAGAGUGUAGGCUUUUUGUUAUUGGAGAAAACAUUUGUCAGGUAUCUACUGUAUGCAGACAGAGGCCAGACAUGCCUUCAGGUACCUGCUUCAUGCACAGCUGAAGCUGACACAUAGUGCUCAGUUAGUUACUUGAGACUUCGCUUUAGCUGACAAGGAAAGCCCUUGGUCAUCCUGUAUACCGUGCCAGGCUUGGUCUCAUGAAUAGGUGGAAUAGCAUGUAUAUGGUCACUGAGUUUCAGUGGAGACCCCAAUGGCCAAAAAGAGAAAUCCCACCUUUCUUGUUGAUGCCCAAACACCAUGAACUCAUUAGUUCACCAACAGAAAACUCCCAAGUAUCUGCUGAAGUUGGGGCUUGUGCUGGCAGCCUGCGUGACUGUGCGGGUGUGUGCUAUGAAGAGCUGAUUUGCAGUGGAGACCCACGUGCACAGGCACAAAAAGAUGGCCAGGGACCUCGGGGAGAAUGCGGACACUACCGGCUGACUGCUGGUGAGACUUGGACUGAAUGAGAAUACUCAUGCCAAGCACCCAGCAUAGUGCCUGAAACAUAAAAGGAAAUUAUCUCAGACCUACUAGGAUUUUCUUAUUAAACAAAACAAAACAGAAAGCAGAAAACAAGUGGUGGCAUGGAUGUGGACAGAUUGGAACCGUUGGGCAUUGCUAGUGGGAAUAUAAAAUUGUAUCAUUUAAAAAAAUGCUGUGGUGUUUCCUUAAAAAAUUACAAAUAUAAUUCUCAUACCAUCUAACAAUUCCACUUUUGGGUAUGCACCCUAAAGAAUUGAAAGCAGGGCCUCAAAGAGAUGUUUGCACACCCAUGUUCACAGUAGCAUCUAUUUGCACACCCAUGUUCACGGUAGCAUCUAUUUGCACACCCAUGUUCACGGUAGCAUCUAUUUGCACACCCGUGUUCACGGUAGCAUCUAUUUGCACGCCCGUGUUCACGGUAGCAUCUAUUUGCACACCCGUGUUCACGGUAGCAUCACUCACAAAAGCCAAAACGUGAGAGAAACCCAAGUGUCCUUGGACAGAUGAAUGGAUAAGCAAAAUGUGAAAUGUGAUUGCAAGCUUUAAAAAGGAAUGAAAUUCUGAUCCAUGCGGCAACAUGGAUGAACCUCGAGGACAUGACGCGAAGAGAAAUUAGCCAGUCACAAAAGACAAAUUCUGCAUGAUUCUAUUUGUAUGAAGUGCCUAGAGUAAUGGAAUUUAUAGAGAUGGGAAGCAGGAUGACGGUUUUCAGGGGCUGAAGGGAGUGGGGAAUGGGGAGCUAUUGAAGGAGUACAGAGUUUCAGUUUUGCAAGAUGAAAAGCCUUCUGGAGAUCAGUUGCAGAGCAAUUUGAGUGUAUAUAACACUCCUGAACCACAUACUUAUACAUGGUUAAGAUGGCAAAUUUUAUAUGUAUUUUCCCACAAUUUUUAAAAAUAAUUAAAAAUUUAAAAACACAAAAGGAACUCAAAUAAAUAUUUGCUGUAUCUGAAUCCAGAUGAACAGAAGAAAUCCCUCCAAGCACUGUGGCCCUGCGCAGGCCAGAGGCUCUGGUGGCGAUUGGAUGUGGGAAGACAGUCUGGGUGGAGAGGAGAUUUCAGGAGAGAAGAGGAAACGGCGCCAUCUCGUUCAUUUCAUAAUCACACUGAAAGCAGCCCUGGGAGAGGAUGCAGUUGUAAUGGCUGGAGUUCUAGCAGCCACUUUGGACCAUAAGAUGGAAGCCAAGCAUUGAGGAUGGCAAAGCAGAAAGCUGAAAGCCUGGGACAUGAUGACCAUGGGGCUGCCAUCCCAUCCCAGGACUGUCUCCCUUCAGACAUCUUUUAUGUGAGAGAAAAAUAAAGCCACUAUUAUCUUUUGUUUUAUUUGUGCAGCAGCACCAAAUUCUGAUGAGUCCAUAUAAGUUCCAGGUGAGCUGGCUUAGAUGGUGACAACCAAGGUCAAAGGCAAAGGGAAGCCCUGAUAAGCAAAUGCCACUGCUGAGUUGCUCAGAGUAGUAGAGUUUUGCUAUAACAUAGCACAGGAAAGGAGAGAUUUUGGAGACAGACGGAGUGUGAUGUCGAGCUCUGCCUGAGACUGACUGUGAUCUUGAUCAACUGAUUGUCCUGAGUCUGGAUUUCCUAAUUUGUAAAUUAGAGUAAUAAUCUCCACCCCACAGGCCAUUCAUUGGCAUUAGACAUCAUAUGUAUUAGGUGUCUUGUUUAGUACCUAGCACACAGCUGGUGCUUAAAAGUAGUGGCUCUGUGUGUACACAGGCACAUGGUAUGUCCCCCUGGCCACAGACACUGCGCUAUGCGCUGGGGACGUGCAGAGGCAUACGGUGUAGCCCCAGCUCUGAGGGGGCGUGAAGGCCACUGGGACAUAUCCAGUGUUGUAGCAUGGGGCCCAGGUAUCCAGCAUGUGUGUGCCUGCAUGCUGUGAUGCAGGCUUGGGAAUGCAUCCCAAGCAUGUGUACAGUGCCAGAGAUUGAAGGAUCCCAUCUUAGAUUGGCACUUCUUGGCCUUCACUCACAUGGGCCCGUGGCUCGGGAUACUUCCCUUCUCCUUUACUCCUUCUGAAUCCUACAUGUUUUUAUGGCCCGUGGAAGUCCUUCCUCCCCCAUAGACCUACCCAACCUAGUCUAGCUAAUCCUCAACAUUUGCACUGAGCUUAUUUCAAGACCACACAGUUCAAGACAACACUUGUUCUCCUGCUGGGGUGCAUGUGUGUCCUCUCCAGCUGGACCAUAAUCCUCCUGAAAGCAGAGCCCCGUUCUAUCGUUCCUUUAGUGUGAAAGGCACAGUAGGCACUCAGUGUUUUGAUGGAGAAAGCUGAGUUUUACAGUUAAGAAUAUUUUUUUCUGCGAGGGCUCAGAUCAGGCCUGCAGCCCUCUCUCUCCUGUGGCUGCAGACUGUAAUGAGGGAGAAUGGAAAGAGAGCAGGGAGGGAUGGCUCAGCCCCAGGUGCACACAUGGCCCAGCCCAGAUUCUAGGCCCAGCGGGCAUCAGGGCAGCUGUGCCAGGCAGACACAGGAUAGCCUUCCUCUGACCCAGGUGUGAACUGGAUGAUAAAAGAUGGUUUCUCACCCUAAGGAAAUCUCUACAUAAAAGAAGUUCCCUCAUCAAAAUCCUCCCAGUGGCCGUAACAGGCUGUUAGUCACAUGCGAUAAUGGCCUGGGGUGAGUAGGUAUCAGGCAGCUGGGCUGAACUGCCUCCUUCCAUCAGGAGUGAGCUCUUGCACUCCCACAUGGUCACAGUAUGGCCGUCCAGAGGAACACUUCCCUCACCCAAGAGCCAGUCCUGCAUCCUCUUGCCCCAGUUGUGCCCUUUCCCUGGCUGAUCAUAGCAUUGUCUGCUCUUGUAGGUUCCCCAUAAGGAGACAAGCUACCUUGGAUGGCUUCCUGAUCAGGGGCCUGCUUCUCCCUGGAAACCCACCUUGUCUCAUCUCAUAAUAUACUGAGGAGGAUCUUGGAAACCACUAAAAUGAUCAUUCUUCCCCUCUCUACAUCAUUUCUAUAUUCCUGCUUUUGGAAACUCCACAUCAUUUUGACCUGGCUCAACCAAUUAGGUAGUCCACUCCAAAUAAGUUACCAACCCGUACUCACAAAACCACUUUCAGCUGUCGGAGGAGAGGUGGCUAUCUGGCACUGUUUGCAGAUGUCUUUCUCUUCUGUUCUUGUUGAAUCCUUCCCCAGUUUGCUGGGGUUCCCAGUGGGGGAGUGCUUCCACAGUGCCCACCCCACCCCAGCCUCUGCCUCUCCCCACCCUUCCUGCUUCCUGUUUUCUAGAGCUUUUUUCUUUCUUUCCCCUGAAGGUGAUGUCUGUAUAAGAAUAGCCACAAUAUGUGUGUGGGAGGUUUAGCAACAUAACCUGGAAGAUCUCUUACAGCCUCUGGAGUCUUGAUUUCCUUGAGUGUCUUGGACUGGAUGAUGGUGUGUAUUAAGGUUUGGGGUAGGGGGACGGUAAAGAAUACCUCUGCUUCUUCUUGGACCUGUCAGUGAAGCACAGUUUGGAAGGGAGAAGGCUGGGGAUGUUCAAAUAGUAGGCAGACGCCCUGAACAACAGUAGCAGGUGUGGUCCAAACUUACUGGCGGGCCUGGAGGCCAGGAGGCCAGUGCCAUCAUCCCCUCGUGCCUGGUGACGAUCAGCCCUUAGAGCUUUGAGUGCCAGUUUAGCAGAGAGGGUGGACUGAUACCUGGUCUUCUCCAAGGACAGUCUAACUCAUCAGUGAGCAUCCCAGCCCGAGACCAGCCCCAAGGUCCACUGCAUCUGAUGUGAGUCUUCAGACCUAAACGAGAGGUGAGGCCGGAGUGAAGGCCCGCACUCUCCUUUUAGUUCUUUUUUUUUCUCCAUUAUUGGCAUGAUUUUGACAGUCUCUAGGUGAAUGCCUAUAAGGACAAAGGAAAUAAAUUUAAAAUGUGAAUGCAAUAGGGAAAAUGCAAUUUUUACAGGCGUCUCUGAGAGUUGGUUUUCAAUGUAAGACCUGGCAGUGGCAGUAAAAGUGCACACCUUGUUUGAAAGGUGCAGUGCCAGUGGGAGAGGCUAGGAGUGGACCGGACAUCUAUGAAAUCCACACUGUUGUAGAAACCCGUAAACCUGGUGUGGCGGCCCAGUGCAGAGACUUAGGAUACAAAGAGAGAGGAACUUAAGUUAUGUUGUGGAAAUCUGACUUCUUAAUACCGUUCAGAAAAUAGGUACGGAGGCAAUAGUCCCAAUCUUCUGCUAGAAAUUUCACUCGGCUAAAAGCAGAACAUUUAAAUACACUCUUGCCAUGGGCUGCUGAGAGGUCCAGCUCUCAAGAAGCGGGAGCAGCUCUAGGGAUGGCCACGCUGGGCUCACUUCCGAGAAAGAGGAAGAGUUAGUUGGGGUGAGGAAAUCGUGGAGGAGAGAGACCAGUCAUUUCGGGGCUCCUCCUCCUGAAAGCAGAGACUGCCAUACAGAACUCAGCCCACGGAGGUCAGCCACAGACACCUCAGGAAGCACAGAGAAGAGAACGCUCUUGUGAUUCCAGGAGAGUCUCUGAAAAGAAGAUAGUUCAAGAAGAGUAGAACAAGCAGGGGCUUGCAGAGAAUGCUGAGAAUACCACAUGGGCCUCUGCGGUGAAUUUAAGGCAAGAUGGAGAAUGAGGAAGCAACAGCCCCUGCCUGUGAGUGGCCUACAGGCUAGAAACAGUGCAGCAGACGCUGCCACAAAGGAAUUGACCUAAUGCAUUUACAAAGCAUUCCAGUCUUUCUUGUCCAGCUUUAUCCCAAGUAGUGGAAGAACCUCCUGAUACUUUCUUAAAGCUUCUGACAGUGAUCUCUGUGAAAUUAUGGAGCGUGUGUAGGGGCCAGAGAAGCGAAACAUUUUGAUUUUCUACAGCUAGGAGGCUGUAGGAGAGUAAGCUCGAUGUUAAUUCCUGGAAGACUCUUAGGGUAUAUUCUUUAAACAAUAGUGUGUGUGCUUUCAAAAGAAAUCGGUAAUUUUAGGAACAUGGCAAAUUAACUGAACUUUCUUUUAUUGUAGGUCUACUAGCUUUAGAUCAAAAGAAUACCGAAGAUAGUGUUGAUUUUAUUAAGGCACUGAGGGGCAUCUAUCAUGAUUUCUUUUGAAAAAUAUGGAGAAAUAUGUUAAUAACUGUUAGGCCAACACUGGCCCAAAAAUGCAGAUUAACAGAUUGAUGUCAGUUUGGAGGGAGGACUUCAGUUCAUUGUCAUGGGGCUCAGGCCUAGUCAGCAUGUCUACCACUGGCCUUCAUGAAAUUGCAAAAUAGAAACUUAACGAAUUUGUUUUAGACACAAAGUUGGGAGAGAUGACUAAUGCCAUAUAAAUAAUGCAUAGAAAACAAUAUUUUUAAAAUCCAUGCUGGUUUUUAAUUUAACAUGACAGGAGACCAAAUAUGCUUGAUAUACUUCCUAAGAACAUAUAAAUAAAGUACCAUAAAUAUGCCAACAAGUUUGAAACUUCCAAUCACAUUGUAAAUCAAGGGGCGCUAAAGAGCAAGUGGAAUUCCUAUCAGUGGGAAUGGGUGAAUUGAGAGGCAUUUUUCUGGCCUGCACUCCACAUGUCUAUCCACUGACAGACCCAAAGAGCUGGAUUGUUGAAUAAGAUGUGAUUCAGGCAGAAAAAUAUGAAGACAUAUGAAAAUAUGCAAGGUCUCAGAAAAUAAAGCAUACAUGUCCUCCUCCAGAGACAAUGAAUCAGUUAAUUUUUAAUGUUCCAAGUGAUUGAGAUGAAUGAAAAUCAAGGACCCCAGCAUAGUAUAAAAUGGACCAAUGGUGAAUUGAAACCAAUUAAGUAGAGCUGAGGCAUCCUGAGCAAGAGCACAAGCUCUGGGAGCUGCAAAUGAGCCCCACCCCUGCCACUUACUAAUUGUGGGACUGUGCGAGAGUUAUUUAACCUUUCUGAACUUCACUGAACAGGUGUGAUUUCUGUGAGGAUUAAAUAGAAAAUGUAGGUAAAGUGCCCAAAAUUACAACUCUUAUCAACUUUAUUGUAUUAUUUAUAAAAAUAACUAUGUUAACUAUAGUUACAAAAUAAAAAUUAGAAUUUAGUUUUAAAAAUAAUAUUUUGAGAAAUAACAAUAUAAGAAAUUGCCUAUAUAAUACAAGACUAAAUUGGUAAUGACAAGGAAAUAUUGGGUGCUGGAGGGAAGCAGGUGUUACAUGUAUUUUAAAACUUACUUGUCUUAAUGAAGGGAACCAUGAGUUAAAGUUUUGUUUUGAACUUUGUAAAUUAUAGAAGUUUAAUUUGCAAAUGCUUUUAAUACGUAUAAAGGUUAAAAAUCCGGGUUUCAACUUUCAAAAACUCAAGAUAAGACAAAAGUGUACUCUAUGACAGCAGUCCCCAACCCUUUUGGCACCAGGGACCAUUUAUUAGUCUGUUCUCACACUGUUAUAAAGAACUACCUGAGACUUAGUAAUUUAUGAAGAAAAGAGGUUUAAUUGACUCACAGUUCCACAGGCUGUACAGGAAGCAUGGCCUGGAAGCCUCAGGAAAUUUACAAUCAUGGCAGAAGGCAAAGGGGAAGCAGGCAUGUUUUAUCACAGCAAAGCAGGGGAGACAGAGAGAGAGCGCAUGCACAAAGGGGAAAGUGCUACACACUUUCAAACAACUAGAUCUUGUGAGAACUCACUUACUGUCAUGAGAACAGUAAGGGGAAGUCCGCCCCAUGAUUCAGUAAUGUCCCACCAGGCCCCUCCACCGACAUGUGGGGAUUCCAAUUUGAGAUGAGAUUUGGGUGGGUACACAGAGCCAAACCAUAUCACACCAGUCUCAUGGAAGAUAAUUUUUCCACUGACUGAAGGGAUGGGGGCAGGGUUUUGGGAUGAAGCUGUUCCACCUCAGAUCAUCAGGCAUUAGAUUCUCAUAAAGAGCAUGCAACCUAGAUCUCUCACAUGCGCAGUUCACAAUAGUGCUCGAGCUCUUAUGAGAAUCUAAUGCUGAGAGGAGGCAGAGCUCAGGGAGUCAUGCUUGCUCACCUGUAGCUCACCUCCUGCUGCACAGCUGGUUCCUAACAGGUCAUGGACCGGUACUGGUCCACCAUUGUGGGGACUGGGGACUCCUGCUCUAUGAAACAAAAAAUGAGAAAGUAAACACACAGAUAUCCAGAAGCAUAAAACAAAAUGACAGAAGUAGGGUUGAAGGUUUAACUAUGCCAAAAUAUGUAAGUGUGUUAAACACUCUUAUUAUUAAAAGUAUGAGACUUACAGAUUUUGGUUAAAAGAGAAAAUGUAUCCAUAUUCUGUACAGGAGACACUAAAACAAAGUGUUGCAAAAAGGCUAAAAGUUUAAUUAAUUAAUUAGGAAACAGUAUCAGAAUAGAUUUACAAUAUAAAGCAGCUGGUGCUAUAAAAUAUAAAAGUUAAUUAAUUUACCUCUGGAAAUUUAGAAAUAAAAAAGAGCAAAAAUUAAUAAGGAAACAUAAUAGCAUAAGAGAAUGAAUGCUAUUCAUAGUGGUAUGCUAAGAAAUUUGAAAAUCUUAAUUGUAACUUUCUAGAAAAAUAUAAAUUUCAACUUUAGAUAAUUUUUUUCAAAAUACAGAACAUUAAAGUUAAAAAUUUAUUUAAUAAAAUUAGCAUUAUCUUGACAAAGAUGUCACCAAAAAAGUCUUAGAAUAAUCUUAUAUAUGUACACAGAUGAAAAAAGAAAAAUGAAAUAAAAUUGAAUCCAUUGGAUUCACAGUUAGGUAAGACACAGCCAAUGAAUUCAAGGACUAUUCAAUGCUGGGAAAUUUAAUACUAUAAUAUAACACAUUGGUAAGUCAACUAAAAAAUGCAGCAUGCAAUAAAACUCAAUAUCCAUUUUAAAUACAACUCUUAAAAUACUAGGAAUAGAAUGACAACUAAUAUGAUAAAGAAUAUGUAUCUCAAACUAACAGCAAACAUUCAGUGAUGAUGUCCUGGAAGCAUUUCCUUUAAAAUCAAGAACAAGAAAGGAACGUGCACUAGAACCAUUGCCAGUCAGCAUUGUGAAAGGUCAAGGGGUUACAACAAAGCAGGACGUGGAAAGGAAGAGAGAAAAUUAUCGAUAUUUGCAAAUGGUGUGAUUAUAGUCCUAGAAAAUCUAACUGAAAAUAGUUAGCAUUAAUAAAAGGGCUCCAGAAACGUGACUGGAUAUGACAUAAAUAGUUUAAUAAUCAGUAGUUUUUAUGUACCAAAAAUGACCAUCUAGAAAAUAAAAUGGAAAAUAAUUCCUAUUUACAAUAAUUACAAAACUUUUAAAAUGUGCUUAGGGAAAAUAUUCUAAACACAUGGGACUGUAUGACAAAAUUAAAUUUAACUAAAAGUUGUAGAAGAACAGUUAGAAUAAAUGAAAACGUGUCAUAUUUCUAUAGGAAAGAUUGACUAUCUGAAGAUGCCAAAUCUUUCCAAAUUAAUUCAUGAGUUUAAAAAAAAUCCUAAUCAACAGCCCAGGGUGUAUUUUCUUUGUUUAUAUUUUGGUUUGGGCAUUGUUUGUUGUUUUGGUGGGGAGUGGAAAGGAGAGUGCUUAGAAAAAUAAUUCUAGAAUUUAUCUGGAAAAAUAACCAGGCCAAAUUUACCAAGAAAGAUAUGUCAUGAGCACAGUGAGGAAAGGAUAAGAGACGGCGUUCCUACAGAUGAACAGAAUGGUGCAGGUAAAGGAAUCCACGGACAGAGCUGUGUGAAACAAACAACCAGGAAACAGCCUCUAGUAAUGAUAUUUGUUGGGGCAUAAAAUAAAAUUUUUAAAAAUAAAUGUGUCCAAAAUAACCUUGUAUUCAACAGCACCAUUUUAAAAGUAGAAGGCCAGAGCCAUAAAAUAAUGCAUCAGUCAAAGGCAGAAGAAAACUUGCAUCCUCCUAUGUGUCUCCAAAGUAGCAUAUACUGUGUACUAGAAAACAAAAUCUGUUUUCCCUUACAAAACCAGUUUAAAAUUCCCCUCAAUUUAUGUAUGGUAAAAAUAACCUUAAGGUGUUUCUCUAAAAUAUGAAACUAAUAUGCAGUGCAUCUGUGGCUCAUGAGAACCUACUAUAUGGUAAAGGAAGCAAAGAAGUUUUAAGGAAGGUGGGCGAGGGCAGGGACUGGAUUGGUAAGUAUUUGGAAAGAAAAUAACUUUACAUACCUUUUUUUUUUUUGAGACAAAGUCUCGCUCUGUCGCCCAGGCUGGAGUGCAGUGGCGCAAUCUUGGCUCACUGCAUCCCCCACCUCCCGGGUUCAAGCGAUUCUCCUACCUCAGCCUUCCGAGUCGCUGGGAUUACAGGCACAUGCCACUGCAACCAGCUAAUUUUUUUUGUAUUUUUAAUAGAGUCAGGGUUUCACCAUGUUGGCCAGGCUGGUCUUGAACUCCUGACCUCAGGUGAUCCUCUUGCCUUGGCCUCCCAAAGUGCUGGGAUUACAGGUGUAAGCCACCACGCCCAGCCUACAUACCUAUCUUAUACAUUUAGACAAAGCAAAUUACAGGUGGAUUCAAAUAGUUAAAUGAAAGAUAAUAAGCCAUAAGACUUGGGGGAAAAUGACUAUUUAACUGCCUCCAGAAUUAUGGAAGACUUUAUAAACAUGAAAGUAAUGGAAGAAGGCACAAAAGAAAAGGCUGAGAUUCAACUCAUAAAAAUAGAAAACUUUUACGCACAGAAAAAUUACAGAAAGUUUUGGAAGGCAAACACACACUGGGAAAAUGUUUAUUAAAGUGGUAGACGCAGGGUCAAUAUUGCUGCUGUAUAAGGAGAACUUAGAAAUCAAUUAAAGAAACACAUCCCCAUUAGAAAAUUUGGCAAAGGACGUGAACAGAUUUAUUCACAAAAUAUAAACUACAAACUGGUAAAUACAUUCUGAUUUUUAAAAUCAGCCUCACUAGUAAAAUAGAAACAUAAAUUAAAAGAAGAUGCUAUUUUUCACUUAAUAAAGUAACACAGAUUAAAAAAAUACAUUAGCAAUAGGUGUGGUAAAAUGGGCUCUCAUAUACUAUGAUAGAAAUAGAAAAAAGUUCCAACCUUUCUGGAAACAAUUUAGCAAUGCAUAUCAAGGUCUUUGAAAUGUUCAUACCCUAUUACCACUAAUUUUCCAUCUAGGAAUUUGGGCUGAAAAAUAAUUAGGCAAAGUUUUAUAUUUAUGUAUAAUGAUGUUCAUUUCAGCUCAUGUAUAACAGCAAGAAAAGAGGAGAGAACCUAACAUCAAAGGGGAAUGUUUAAAUGUGUUAUAACUCAUAUGAUGAGCUAAUAAAACUUAUGUUUUUGAAGCCAACAAGUUGAAAUGCUCAUUUCACAUUAAUAGCAGGAUAUAAAAUAUAUGGACAGCAUAUGAAUUUGAAUAAAGUUUAAAAGGAAAAUAAAUAUGCAUAGUAUCACAUUUUUGUACAGUAUAAAAGUAAAUUCAAUAGUAUCUUAAUAAAAAUUCUGGACCAAAACUAAUGAGAUAAAUUUAGUGUUAGAAAUGCUAAGUUAUGGGCUCAGCCUCAAAAAAUAGGAAUGAAAGAGGACUAACUUAACUAUUGCAUUUAUGAAAAGGAUCGGGGGGAUUUCACUGCCCCAGGCUUGGUGUUGUGAUUGUAGUCGAAGCUGACCUGGGUUGCCUUGGUGGCAGUCCCUAUGCUCUGUACAGUCAGGCUCGUCUGCUCUCCAAGUUUAAAGAGAAGCAAGGUGUGUCCUCCUCUCAUGUUGGUCACAUUCAGUGAGGGACCCCAGGGGAACCAUCUGGAAACUGUUACAUAAGGAACUGCAGAAGGAUCUAGGGAUGUUUUACCUGGAAACAAGGAUAUUUAGGGGCAAUGGAAUAGCUGAUUUCACAUACAUAAAGGGCUACAUGAGGCUGAAAAAUCAGACUAAUUCUGAGUAGCUUCAGGAAGCAGAACUAGAUUUUGGGUAGGAGUGAAAGGUAGAGGCAGGUUUUAGAGCCAUGUAAGGUGUAGUCAGGUGUUCAUCUUGCAAAAUGGUGAGCUCACCAGGACACAAAGCAUCCUUGAGGAGUGAAGAUGAGAGGCUUCAUCGGGCAGAAGUUGGAAUAGAAGGCAUCAAAAGACCCAGCCGUAGGAUUUCUGCAGUCCCAUCAUUGACUGACUGGAGGCCCAGGUGGGCAGAAAGAAGGUGUUGAAGGGGCAUAGACUCCUUAGGCCAUUGGUUUUCAACCUUUACUUUACAACACAAGCACCUGAGGAGCUUGUUAAAACAGUGCUGGACCCCACCUCCAUAGUUUCUGAUUCCGCAGGUCUCAGGUGAGGACCUGAGAAUUUGCAUUUCUGAUAAGCUCUCAAGUGAUGUUGCUGCUGCUACCACUGGUGCUCCAGGAAUCACACUUUGAGAACCAUCUCCUUAGGUCAAGAGCAAGAAAUAAGGAGAUAUUCUUAAGCCCGAUGGUACAGAGAACCUAGAAAAAAAAUAUGGCACACAGGAAACACAUACUAAAUGACAUAUGCCUUUUUUUUUUUGUUUAAUCUCAGAAUCUUGGACAAUAGUGUUGAAACUUGUGGAAUUAAAUCACAGACUGGAGGCCGUUCUUUCCAGAUCCACAUUUCUACCUGGAUGAUGGGCUCUGUCACCAGGCCAAAGAAAUUGAUGUUGAGUAUUAAAAGCCUCUAAGGGGAGUGGGUGCUGCAAUUUUCUUCCUUCCCCUCUUAGAUGUUCCUAGAUGGUGGGGAAGUUCAUUGUCACUUAGAAAUUCAUGAAGGAAAUAGAAUAUUGCUCAUGGACUUCAGAAUGGCCCAUAAUUAGCUCUUUUGGGUUUUGUUUUGUUGGUUGGUUGUUUAUCAUUUGUUGUUUUACUGGACCUUGGAAGGAGUCUUCCUCAGUGAAACCCCUCGUUAUAAGAACAGAUAGUAUAUGAUGUAGACAACCACAGAUGGGACCCCCAAGUUUGAUGAUGUCCUCAGUGUCCUGCAGUUAUUCCAACAAAGAUGCACAACUCCCGUCAUCAUCUCCAUUCAAAGUAAGGCUCAUUUAUUUGAGCUUUCAGCUGAUUGGUUUAGGAAGAGAACUGUGUACAGCCUCCCCCACAUCUCCCCACCCCUUGCUGCUCUCUUCCUGAGCUCACUAUGUCAGUGUGAGCAGACUGUGCGCCUAACACACCGGAGUCUGUUGCCAUGACGCUGGGGAGAAAUCUGGUUCCUAUAGCAACAUCAGGUUGAUUCGUUGCACCUUAUGACACAGGCAGAUCUCCAGCAGGGGCUUCUUUGAUCUCCAGUUAAUCCAGGAGAGAUGGACACAUGUAGUACUGGAAAAUAUUACAUUUUCCCACAACCCACCUAAUCCUGCCUGCCUGCCUUUCAUCCUCCACAUUACCGAAAUAAUAAUAAUAAAUAAAUCCACAUUCCCUUUUUUUUUUGGCAACCUGCAAAAAUAAAGCAAUGGAUCACUUUAAUGUUCUCAUCAGAUUAAAAUGUAGUUUGAGGAUCAAUCCCUAUCGCCUCCCUUUCCAAGGCCAAUCCAUCCGUUAGCAUGCCCCCUGGCAUGUUCCUCGAGGCCUGUCCAUCUGGCCUGGCUGGCUGGUGAGAAGUCCUGUCAGCCACAGGGGUCCAGGGACAUGCCAGUAGUGCAAUGGCAGCUCCCUGGGCAGGCCUAAGAGGCCAGGGGCUCGUUAGCAAUGGUAGCAGAUGGAUGCGGGGGCAGCCCCAGGAGAGGCCAGCAAGUCCGGUGCCGAGAAGUUCCUUGACUCACCAUCCAAAGGAAUGCGCGGUGUUGGCUUCUGUAUGUCACAAAGUGGGCAGCCGGCCUGGGGCACUCGGCACAUUCCUGGUCUGGUCUGUGGCGGGAGAAGUGACAAGGAACUGGAUCGUUACUGACAGGAAAGCAUCUCGUUGUUCUUUAAAGAGACUUUCAGUGAAGGAGGAUCCAUGAUUUUCCCCAGCCCUUCAUUUGAGUGCCUUUAAGCCUUCCUUGGGGAAAACAUCCAUAUGUUUUCUACUUAUAUUACUUACUUGUCACCCCUCAUUCAUUCAGCAAAUGCUCACUGAGCUUCUUCAUGUGGCAGGCUCCGUUCUAGACCCUGAGCACUGAAUAACAGAAACGGGGUUUCUCCUCUCCUGGCACCUACAUUCUCAUGGGGGAGACAGAUAAUAAGUAAAGAAAGGAAAAUGUCAGGAACAUGAAUAUACAAUGGGGAGUUUUGGGGGAGGCUGCAAAGUGAGUGGUCGGCAGAGGUCUCCUGAGGUGACAUGGAGGCCCGACUGCCCUGAGGAGCCUGCCCUGGGACAAGCUAGAGAGAGGGUGUCCCAGGCAGCAUGCAGAGGCCAGCAUGGAGCGCUCUGAACUGGGCAGAGCAAUAGGGCAGGAGUUUGGCAUGGAUUCAGGGGCCACAGCUGUAGGGCUUGUGAGCCAGGGGAGAGAUUGGAUUUUAAGUGAUAGAUAUGGGAACCAUUGAAAGUAUUUUAGAAGGGAAACAACAGAAUUAUAUUCGUAUUUAUGAGUUUGCUCCAGCUGCCUUAACAAGCCCUCUUCAAGCCCAUUUUCCUUUUGCCUUUCCAUUAGUGGCGAUUAAAAAAAGAUAUUUGCCACCCUUCUUAGGCUUGAAGGUGAUCUGCAAGUCAAACCUCAUGCUUUUCUCCAGUAUCAGUAAGCUCAGUCCCAUAUUUCCUCUCUUGUGCAUGAUGAACUUUGUUAUGCCAGCCUUCAAGGGAUAUUCCGAGUUCCUUUUUCUUAGAAUUCUUGAGCCAGCGGGGGCCUUACAGAUCACUGGGUGCAGUCCUUAUUUUACAGAUGAGGAAACUUGGUUGCCACAGUGGUCAAGGGACCUGGCCCACAUCACAACUCCGCUAGCCAGGGCUGGGCCUCUGGUGCUAGAACCCAGCACCCUCUCCCGCCCCACAACUAGUAGACGGUAGACUAGUAGUCUUCCCACGCUCACGUUUACUUACCAAUGCUCAUUAUUUCUUCUCUUCCUUUUCUGAUUCAUCUCUCUGCUUUCCUCUGGUCCUGUCAUUCUUCCCUGGUAUGCUGGAAUUUUUUAGUAAUGGACUGUUGAUUGCAGUAUGUGGGAAAUUUGGCCAUAAGUUUUGGUUCUAUGUGGUUUUUUAUUGUGGUGGCAAUUGUUUUUGCCAUUUUCUGCUUUGGUGUUAUUUGUGGCUCCCAUUGGGGCCUCCCUAAGCCCUGCUUAUUUUCCCAUGACUGGGGACUGGGUGUUAUUGUUCGUAACUCAAUAUUCCAGCCGUGGCAUUCAAGGCCACCAACCCUCUGCCUGUGAAUAGCAUAUCACAGCCCACGCCACAUUGGCCUUCCGUGGGCCAGGCCUCAGGGUGGGAACUCAGCCAGGGUGGUUUUCCUACUCUGAGGCCUUGGUAGAGCGGUCAGGGCUCCCUGCUGGCUUACACCCACAUAGCAGCUCCUAACUCCACAGUUUGUCUUCCCAUCUUCUGUCCACUCCAGCUCAGGGCCCCUUAGCCAUUCACUCAGCAGACAAAGAAUACUAAUAGUAGGUGAUAACCACUGCUGCAGGCAUGACACAUUAGCAUUAGGUGACAAAUAAACCAUCUCCAGUCACCAUUAUCCCUGCUGCAUCCAACCAGCACAGCCGGGAAAGCAAACAAUGAGGCAGAAGCGCGUUUCCUUACUCUGAAAGGCAUGCAUGCACUGGAAGUUGGGUUCAUUGGAGAGCAGGGUGGCUUCACAUCGGGAUCUGUGGCAGGACAGCCUCAGAGCUUGGCAGUGUCGUCUGGGAACUGGGCAAUAUCAAUAAUAAGGUGCUUCCAGUGACAGUCUACGUCUUCAUCUUUACAACAGCUUUCAGAGAUAAGAUUAUUGCUCCAGUUUUCAGAUGGGGAACAAAAUGAGACAGGAUUAGUGAUUCUUUCAAGGUCAGCAGGCUGGGGAAAGUCAGGGUUGGAACAUGAACCCAGUGCAGGGCGCACUUCUCACACACUGCCCUUCUCUCUGGGCAGCAGAUGUGCAUGUGCUGAGCAGCUGCCAAGGAGACAGGAUGGUUGAGACUCUGCAGAAGAAGGGCUGGCGUCUUCCCUGUGCUGCCUCAGUGGCACAGGUUGGGCUGAGAUCUGCAAGGUACAACAGGGCUUGCUUGGGGUUCUGAUGAGAAUGAUGCCCAGUGAAUGAUGCCCGGUGUCGUGGCUUAGCAGAACAGGCCUGGCAUGAGGCUCAGGAGAUGCGUUUCCUGGGUCUGGCCCACCUUCGGCUCCUGUGGCACUGGGAGUACUCUUAAGUCUUAGCUCUCUGAACACCAAGUGAAGGAGUUAGCCUGGAGGUCCCCAGCGUUACACUCACUGAUACCAUUCUAUGAUUUACAAAGCUCUUCCUUGAUGAUCAGAUGUUUCUUUUCCGAGGUAUUUCAACUUCCCAUUUAUAGUUAGUAUUGAAGUGCCACCUGUGGGUUUUCCAGGCCGCUGUCUCUUUUCUUUAUACAUAUACCCUAAGGAUGCUUAUUAUUGCUGUUGUUGUUAAAUCAAGUCCUUGUCUUAGUAUAUAUAUCUUAACAUAUUGAGUUAGAGACAGUGCCUAACUUGACAGUUCUGACAGUGUUGAUAUAAUCCAUGGAGAGUCUUUAGCCCACCGGUUCUGCCCAGAGCUCACUGGUAACUCAGGCUGUCUGCAUGGCAAAGUGGAAGACGUUGACCACACCACUUGAUUGGGAGCUGUCUUCCUUCCCUGGGAUGAAACCAGUCAGGACCUUCUCACAUGGGAGGAGUAUCAAAGACUAAACCAACCUAGAAACAGUCCAAGAAGAACCAAACAACCAAGCAAGCAAAUCAAAACGGGGGAAGAGGACAAGCAGGACCCCAGGCAGUUUGGCUGGUGCCCAGCACAGGGCCUGGCACUAGCAGGUGUUUGAGAAACAUUGAGUGAAAUGACAUGAUUGCUCAGUAGAAGGAGCAGCCAUGCUCAAGGCCAGAGUCGCCCCUUCAGUCUCAGCCAUUGCUUGGGGAAGUGGUCUGUUCUUGCCAUUAGAGAGCACACUGCCAUGGAGGACACUCUAGAUCAGAAGUCCAGGUCGGAGUCAUGGCUUUGUGACCUCCUGUGUGGCUUUGGGCAAGCCACUAAACUCUGAGCCUCUGUAUGUGAGGACAAGCGCCCAUUCUUCUUCUUAUUGCAGAGUCCUCAUAAAAUACAACUGGAUGAUGCCCCCUGAGUACCUGUGCUUGAGGAGGGGGGCAAAUAGCACCGAGAUGGUGUCUUACCCACCUUUGUAUCCCCAGCAUGUGGCACAGAGCCCUCACUCAUUAGGUUCUCAGCAAAAAUGAGUGGGUGGUCGGAUGGAUGCACAGCUUAGGCGGACAGGUGGACGAAUAAAUGUGCAAGGGAGGUUCUGGGAGCUGCUGGCGGCAAACUUUGCUUGCUUCCCAAGGAUUGUCCUGCCUUUCUGUAAUAGGCUAGGGGGCUGUGAGCUGCAGUAUAUUUCUGCUCACAGGAGCCCUUUCUCUUGGGGAGCUAUGUGGAGGGCAAGACCACCCCAAGAACCCCAACAUGAAACCUUAACUGGGAUUCUGCUGCUCUAGGCUAAGCAAUCCUACAUUCUUGACUAGAAGAGUGUGUCUUAGGCAUACAUUGCUGCACAGAAAACCCCCCACCUCCUCCCUGCUUCACAGAGAUGGGGUGAAAGAUGGUGGUGCCCUAAGAAGGCAGAAGCCCUGCGCCACACAAAGCAUGCUUGCUACGCCCACUAGCUGGCCAGGAAUGGUAGGAAUCGCAGGGACCAUGAUCAGGCCUUGUCUGCUGGGGCCACCUGCUGCUGCUGUUGUCACGUUCUGUGCUCUGCUGCCAUCCUCUGCGGGGGUGGAGCCAGCAUCUUGGCAGCCCCAGGGUAAUAAUUAGGGGAGGGGCAGCUCCCCAGCUGGUGCGGUAUUUGAGGAGGGGCCUGGAGGAGAAGGAAGGGCUGGGACACGGCCAACAAAAGGAGAAAUUAAAUGGGCUGUCCUGGGAGCCCAUAGUUAGCAUUUAAACACCAGCAUGAGCUGUGGGUUUCACUGAGCAGGGCUGUGUGCGGCCUCAAUGCCCUCCUCUCCCGGCCCCCGUUCUGUUUGUGAGCACAAGCUGGGAGGACUCUCAGCAGAGCCCUAAGAGGUGAUGUUGUCAUGCCGAAGCCCAGGAUUCAGGGGCUUUCAUGCAGUGCAAGGACAAACAUGGCGAACACCACAUGCACCCAGCUGCAACAGCGCUGCACCCCUGACCUACUCACAGCCCUCAAGGAACUCACUGACCAGCCUAGCCUUACAGCGGCCAUCACAGGUGUGCUGGGCCCCUGACGUCGAGGGAUUUAGGGUUUUGUUUUAUUUGCUGUCAGCAUGGUUCACGUUGCAAUUUCGAUUGUGGGGAGACAGCCAGGAAAUACUAAAGAAACACCCCAUGCCUCCUUCACCACAGCCACAGGUACUGAGCAUUGAGCACAUGUUAUAUGUUCUUUAUCUCCUCCAGUCUGCACUGCUCACUUAAAAGGUGGGGCGUAUUAUCCCCGUUUCACAGCUGAGUAAAGUGAGGUUCACAAGAAUUUUGUGGCUGGCCCAAGUUCACACAGCUAAUGAGGAGGGGAAAGGAUGCCAAGUGAGUCCGCCUGGCUCCUGGAGCUCCUUCUGCUUCUCCAUGCCUUCUGAAGAACACAUGAGGCCUCCCUGUGUCCUGUGGGAGAAUUCACUGUCUCUACUACAUGGGAAAAUGUGAAAGAAGGUAGGCCUGAGUGCUCCCGUAAGCUUUGGGGAAUGAAAGCUGAGUGAAUUGGCCUUGCUAAGUGAUCUGACAGUAAUCUGGUGGUCUUGAGCCUAGAAGAGGGUUGGGGUGAGUGUGAAGAGUAUGAUCCCCCGCAGAGCCGAGUCAUGACUUCUCUUCUGCCAGGAGCUCACUGGACUCCCAUACCCUUCUUUGGACUUCAGUUUCUUCCAGUAAUAAUGAUGAUAAAGUCUAGAAAUAAUACAAUUAACAACCACAACUGAGUAAAUACUUGGGAAUUAGUUCUAAGUGCUAGGUCUUGUGAGUAGAUUCUAGAGGUAGAAACAGCCCCAGAAACACAAGCUAGAAAAAGAGGAACAGCUUCCAGGAGAGUUCCAGGCAUCCUAAGGGAAACACAGGCCUCUGCAUGUGGAUGGGUUCGAAUGCCAGAUUCCAGCACCCCUCUAUGGCCUCUGCAAUCUGCAGUCUUUUAAAAUUGUUUUUACAUUAGAACAUCACAGGGUUGGAAUGUGCCGCCACAAAAGCGCCUAUCUUCAUUACCCAUGAUUCCUCAAAUCAUCAAACGUAAGCACAUAGAUGCCAACCAGUGUCUACAGGGUGUACCAAGCACAGGCCCAUGGGAGCCAUCUACCCUGUGCGGGCAAGAGGGGAGCAGUUGUCUAUGGGAAAUUUAAAAACAAUCAUAAAAUUCACAGAAAGAUGGUCUACUUUGUAUUGUCAUCAUGGCCUGGCCAUUCUAAAUAAGGUCAGGGAUGAAAUACUCCCCGUGGGGGAAGAGUGUUCCCUCACCACUUCACAGGCUACUAAAUCAUUGCUCUCGGCCAUUGCUUGGUUGUCCUUGUUCUUUUUGUUUGUUUGUUUGGUUCCUUCCUUCCUUCCUUCCUUCCUUCCUUCCUUCCUUCCUCUCUCUCUUUCUUUCCUUCUUUUUUUCUUUCCUUUUCUUUUCUUUCCUUUCUUUGCCAAUAGGCCACCAUAGUCAGUUUCAUGUGUCUUCCUGGUCAAUCCCAUGUUUACUACACAAAUUUAGGUUUCUUUUUUGUGGUCGCAUUUAGGAAACUACCUAGAGAAUAGUGAGAAACCACAGGAGGGAAGGAGAACAGUGAGAAAAAUACUGUUUUCUUUUUGUUGUUUACUCAUAAAUGUCACAGAAAUAUUUCAAUUCCUUUUUGGUUUUGAUAAGUGCUUUUUUAAACCAAGGCCUAAAUCAAGGGCCUCUCUUGGCAAUGUCCCUUUGACAGAACCGAGGGAGGGUGGCAGGGCAGGGAGGCACAAGCUGCAGAGGCACUUGUACUGUACAAUUUUCUGGGUCCUGACUGAUAAAUUAUUGUGCAUCUUGCGCGUGCUCUGACAUGCAGUACAAUUUGUCCAUGUAACGGUGAUGAUAGGCUGUCCCGGGCUAAUAAUCAUGAACCCUUUAUUUAGCUCCUUCAGCCUUUUAGAGAAAUCUUAAGUAACCGUUCAUAUCCCUUUAUCGGUUUUCUCUUCCACAUUUUAGCAUAAGUGGAAAAAGCUUUUAACCUUGAGGAUUUUACUCACCCUGGGGCUGGGGACAAGGAAGAAGGCACGUUGUUAAAAGUGUACAGGAAGUAGGAGGAUCUUAACACUCCCGAUAGAACAGCUUUUUUUGGUCUGCCUCCUAGGAGUGUGAGGCUGUCUGGGUGGUAGAGAUUGUCCAGUCCAUCUCUCAUUUUACUGGUGAGGAAGGGAUGCAAGCCCUGAGAUGUAAGUAACUGGCCCAUGGUCACAUGGCACAGUCAUCUGGAAGUGACAUUGAGCUCCCUUCACCCAUUACAGAGAACCUGCCAUGAUGCAGGACAUAAUAAUAUAAUUAAAGACAUAAUAAUACCAGCUCUCCUUUGGCACAGGUCCCGUGGUUCCCAUCCCCACCCACGUGACGGUCAAGUCAGCUUAAGCACAUGUUCAACACUCUGCCCAAAUGGCUGGGUGUCCCUUGUAUCCUUUUCUGUGUCCAAGUUAUUGAUGGUAGAUUGUGUUCUCUGGAAAACAGAUGCCGUCCUGGUGUGAAUUGCUUCCUGUAGCAUCUGUGUAGUCUAACCCUAACUUGCAGGGUGCUUGCAUGGCAAUUUUUGGACUUGGCUUUGCAAGCUUUAACACGUGACGCUGCCUGUUUCUUUACAGGCACAAUCUUGCAAUUGAGGUGACUAAAAAGCAGUACCUGGACAAUGGUAUUAGGAUUCAAAUAUAGCUUCUAAAAGAUUGGAAUGAUAGCAAGAGGGCAUGCAGGCAUUCCAUCUGUGUGUUUAGGUGGUAGCAAGGAGCAUUCAGUUGCUCUCUGUCUGCAGCUGAUGUUUUUCACCCCUCUGGGAGCCCUGUACUGACCUCUUCUGAUAAAUUGGGCUCUUAGUAGGUUGGUUAGAUUCCCAGUGUUUCCCCAUCCCUCUUUCAUCACAUACACAAGGGGUUUGUCCAAGUGAGUAUCACAAAGGUGGUUCUUGGCUUAAGGCUGGCACGAAAGGGCUCUGCCAGUGAGCAAUGUCAGAAUUAAAGACAUAAUAAUACUAAUUAACUUCCCCAUGCCUGUGAUCUCUGCAUUUAUUAUUUGUGUAGAGAUAAAGCCUUAAAUAACAUGACUGGCCUCUUUGGGGGCCCUGCUUGGGAGUGGGUGAGGGGCAAUGUCCUCAUUACAGCACAUAAGAUGGAUGGUGUCCUAAGGCAGAGGCACAUCACCAAGGAUCACCUACGGAAGGUGCAACCUCCUUCCCAGCUGGCCCAUGUGCUUUUUUCCAGCAGCACGUGGGAUGGGGAGGGGGACUGAGGCGUGUGAAAGAAGAGAAGCAAUUUCCAGGGAUGUGGCCCUUUGCAAGGUCUCCACGUCCAUGGCCAUCUGCCUUCCAGGACCUGCUGUGAACUGUGCAGCAGACACACUCAAGCUGGCUGCCUGUGGUUGUGGGAAGUCCCUCACUCCUCUGUCCUCAGUUUUGUCAUCUCUGAAUGGAGGAAGGGAGGUUAGAUCAGGCUUCCAAGAGUCCUUGAAAUUCCUGAAAUUAUAUAUAAAAUGUGAAUGUGUGUCAGGCAUUUGUCAGGAGCUAAAAGGCCAUUGCCUGUGAUUCUCAGAGGUCCCUGAACCAAAGGCUAAGGGCCACCAAGUGAGAUGCUCCCCAAGGAUCCAUCUUCCUCUUCCCGAUUAUGAUUUUAGAACUUCCAAACCUAACGUGUGUUGUCAGCUCAGACAAACUCAGCAUUCAGGUUGUAGAGACAGAUGAUGGAUACUCAGUCAGAAAUGCCCUAUAAAUUAGCUGCUUUAAAAGUAUUGACCAAGUAGCCUUCCAGGAAAGUUCCCCAAAUAUGGUGGUUCUGGUGUUCCCACCUCAUCUGCAACAGCCCUGGGAAGCCUGGCUCCUUGCCUCCAGGUUAUCCUCGAUGUAAGGCCCUCCACCCCAGGACACUGUAGCAAUCCUGGGGCUAACCCUGAAGACCAUUUCCACUAUUGGGCAGCCUUGGUGGUUUCCUUGUCGUAGAGAACUAACCCAGUUUCCUCAGACUGGCUACCUUCUCAUCAUCUCACCAUCUCUAGCUUUCACUCAGAUAGAAUGAUCUCAGAGCAAUCGGCAGUGUUUCUCAUUUGGAAUUUUACUAACAAAUUAAUAAUAAUGACUUUGACUAUGGGGAUGCUUAAGAAAAUCUCCCAGAGUCCUUGAAGGCAUCCUGGGAGAAGAUAGAAACAACUCUGAGAAUCAGAACAUCUGGGAGGAUUCUGCAGAUGGAUCCCAGGGACAGCCCAACAAUCAGAGGGCCCUCCUUCAAAGCAAGUGCUGCCUCCAGCCUGGGGCAGACCCAUCCCUCUCUGUGUCAUUUGUUUUCCCAAACAUUCCCUUCUUAAACUGGGGUUCAUGAAGUCUAUAGAUGGAAUUCCAGAGGGUUUAUGAACUUGGAGAAUAACUGGAUCUUUAUUAUCACAGGCUUCUAGCCGAAAUUUCUCACGGUAUUCCUUCGCAAAUAUAGACAACACACCACAAUAGCAUUUGCAGUUUCUGUUACUUUGUCCACCAUUAGAAACCAUGGAUAUUUUCUUAUCAUGUUAAGAUGGUUGCAGGUAUCUCAAAAAUAUUGUUUGCUUUCAAUACUACUUCAAAAUUCUGGUAAUCCACUAGAUUUUGUUAUUUAACAUAUUAUCAAAGAAGCAUGCAUAUUUGUGUAUUACAAAAUUGUCUUUAAAUAUUUUUGAUAUCCAUAUUUCAACAUAACUGGCUUUACUUGCAAUCCUUUAUUUCCAUUUAAGAACAGUAUUCUGAGAAGGACCUACAGUCAUGAGAACUACCAAAGGCAGCCACAGCACAAGAAACUUACAGACUUCUCUAAAUUGGCAGUUCACAUUUCAAUCCUGUGCUGCUUGUGUCUGAAUCAUAUCAUAGGGGGAGCUCUGAGCUUAUGUGAACAUCGAGGCUGUGGGAGACAGAAAGGAGAGAUGUAGGAGCCAACUUUGUGUGUGCUGAGAUUCGAAACCAGUCAUAUAUCCCAUAAGCAAAUUGCUCCUGAACUGGCAAAUCCCAGAAUGUAUUUUGCCCUGGGCACCCUUUACCUCCUCAUUAAAUAAGAAAAUAACCCAUGAGUAUUUGAAAGGAACUUGCAUCAGUGUGGAACUGACUGACUUAGAAUAGAGCUCAUCCGAGAUCUUGAGAUGGGCUUAUUCACACAACCGCCUUUCAGCUGUUCUUGAGAGUCCCACAGGAUGGGGAAGGCCUUGGUAUUAGUCACUGGGAUCAGAGCUGGGAAGCUGCUUAGCUGUGGGCUCAGCAGGCUGGACCAAGGCCACUUGUAGGUAAGAGAGGCAGUGUUCCCUAAUGCACUCUAAAUCAGCUGGAACUAGUUUGCAAUCCUGGAUUCAAGUCCCAGCACUAUCAUUAAUGAACUGUGUGAUCCAGGCAAGUGGUUUAUCAGCCUUCUCUUCCAUAAAAUGGGGUGCUGUGCUGUGUAAGUGUGCCUGGCUUGUAAGCACUAAACGAGUGUAGCUAUUACUAUGAUCAUAUGCAAGCAGCACCUGUAGCAUUUGGAAGGCUCAGGAAAAGAAGGGUGGGUGGGAGCAAAGGCGAACAAGAGCAGUGGAGACUAAAGCGGGUUGUCUUGUGGCAAUGCUUAACCUAGGGGCCUGGAAUUUCCCCCUUUGCCUGGUCUUACUGUCAUUGGAAUAAUCGUAACCACUCCUGGGAUAAGAGACCAGCAAUAUAGCUGUAGUUCAUUGGGUGGCAGGAAUGUGCCCUUUGUCCUUGGUUUCUAAGUAAUGAUGUCUUCAUGUCUGGUUGAGUGAGGGGUCAGCUUCAACCCUACAAUAAACCAGUGGAGUUAUAAAUGGAAAGCCUGAAUUCCCAGACAGAGGAGGGGAUCCAAUGAGACAGCAGAGUAAGUAGGGAAUUUUCACUGCCUCGUCUGCAAUGGUAAUGUGAAUAGCAAUAAUAAUCAUCCUAAGAAAGGAUUUAGUCUCAGAGCCAAGGCAAGGAAAAGAGCCUUUUCCCAUGCCUUGCUGGGGAGAGCUAAACACUCAAACCACGUCAACAUAGAAGGAACCAAAAAUACGGUGAAGUACCCUUUGCCCCAGUGAGAGGCCAGUGCAAGACAACCCCCUGCAGAAUGGGCCAGAGGGCAGAAGAAGAGGCCGGGGCCCAGUCCUGAAUUUGUCUGUUGGUUCUCACUUCCUCCUUUAAUCAUUUCAGAAGAGCUGUUAAUGAGCAGGAAAUCUAAUUGAUUAGCAUUUCAUCCUGGCUUCCCUUUCUGCCAAAGGUGCUAAUGAGCAGGGAAAUCACAGAUCCUUUGGGUGCAAGGUACUUGAGAGGUUGUGAAUGCAUUUGCCACCCCUACAUGGAGAACCUCAUCUAAACCUCAGCAAACUGAUAAGGACCACUCUGAUUUUUAAAACCCUCCAGACAAGCUGCCUUCCUUCUGUGGAUCACACACCACCCAGGUUAGCAGCAGUGCCACCAGAAACACUGUUGCACUCAAGUUUUCUCGCAGGUGACUCAUCUGCAUGCUCCUUGGCGGAGAAUCACGGGUUACUGUACUGUCUUUGUGUAAGAGUUCUUCAUAUUCUCGAAGAUGUUUGUUACAUCUUGUUUCUACUGUCUUUCCUCCAGGUUACACAUUGUGCGUCUUUCACCCUUUCUGUGCAAGUUGUUCUUUCUGACCCUAAUCACCUUAUGUUGUUGGAUCUUAACUCCAAGUUCAUCUACUUUGGUUGUGGAUUCGGAACUGGGCCUAGAAUCCAUGAAGGACUCUAGCAGGAAUGAGCACAAUUAGAGGUCUCCUGGCACCCUGUUGUUGUCUCCUUUUUUUCUUUCUAACAAAAGCCCAUGGUCAGUCUCUCCAGUUCAUGACUCUUUUUCAACCCCAGCCUCCCUUUCUCCAUUUGUGUACAUGCCCUAUUUUUCUUUUCCUGGUACACAACCCUGCACUUUUCCUUCUCUGAGCAGCAACAGUGAAAGGGAAGGGAGGUGGAGGGAGAGUAAGCCACAUGGGCAACCUGCAGCCUGGGUCUCCAGCCUCUUGCAGUCUUGGUCCUCACCGUGGCAUAGUAUAGUACCAGUAGAGGCACUGCAGGGACAGAUGAACUCCAUAGCAAGGCAUUGCAAGAGGCCUUUGGAGAAAUUCCUUUGCAAUUUGAGCAAAGCCCACUCCUUGGCUUAGCAAAUCUUUUUACUUUUUGGUCUGCUAGAAUUUACUGCAUGAGCAGUUAUCCAGAAGGUACGUCUCUGUCCCAUUCGGCUUUAUUAGACGCCAUCUGGAAAGGGGCUGGGAGUGGUCAGCCUCAGGGAGGGGAGCCAACUGACCGUGGACCGUGAAAGGAGGGAGAUGAGAGUGAAGUAAGCAUAGUGCUCGCUCCCCAAGGAUUGAAACUGCCUCCCCCGAGCUGAAGACUUACAAAGACGUAGUCCAGAUUCCCAGAGCAAAUGAGGCUUUAUACCCAUAACAAGUUGUAAUUUGAGUCACCGAGGAAGUUAAGAAAGUGAAAACAUGAGCAAAUGCCAGUGUGAUGGAAUCAGAGUCUCCAUGCUGGAAGAGACUUCAGAGGGAUCUGCUUGAGCUCCCUGGCUUUAUAGACAGGAAGAGCGGCCCCCUCAGAUGCACACAGCCAGGUACUGCACGGCCGGGCCAGAGGCUUUUCUGAUGCCUGCCUCCCUCUUGCGGCAACGGAACCUCAUCACCUAGUUCUGAUAGGAAAAAAAAAAAAAUGAGGUGAUCAGAAAACAACUUCCUCAAUUUUCUCAGUCUCCACCAGCAACUAAAAUUGUUCCUGUAUCCCCCUCACCUUAUCCACUUAGCACCCCUACACCCAAGGGUAGCUAGGACCCGCUGCUGUCUCUCCAUGACCUCCCUCCCUCUGUAGCCUUAGGUAAGCCCCUGGCAGCUUUUGCCUGGAAAUUUGCAACAGUCUCUUGACGGGUCCCCCUGCCUCCCUCCAGUCUUAAUUCACCUGUCACUCUGUGGCUGCGUUACCCAUCUAAAACGCAAACCUGAUAAAAUUGCUUCUGUUUAAAAGUCUUGAAAUCCUGCAAUGGCCCCAAUGGCCCCUAGGAUAGCUAUCAAACUCCUUAACAUGGGCUACAAAUAGGUGGUUUUCACCCCUGGGUGUACAUUAGAAUCACCGGGGAUCUUUUUAAAAUUACCCAUGCCUGGGUCUCACCCGUAGUGACUCCAUAGAGUGGGCCUGGGUGGGGCCAGUGGUGUCCUGCAGCUGGAACCAGCCCCAGCGACUCAGGAGAGGCCAUCACUUCCAGGAAUCUUAUGAGUGGGUUGUUAAAUGACCAUUAUUAAAAA